rnacentral:lncRNA from 1 species
CCGGACUCCGAAUUCGAUGAUCUUGGACAUUUCGGAAAGCUUACUCAGAGAGCUAUACAAUCCAUAUGGAUACUCAAUCCAAAUCAUAAUGGAUUAAAGCAGUAUUUCAAUCUAAAAGUCAUCCUAAUGUCCGAAGAACACCGAAAAGCCUCUCUCUCUUCUCCAAGUUGAUCAAAAUCAACUCCAACACCUUCUCCUUAGCAAAUGUGCCAACACCACCAAGUGUACACCACCAUGUGCAUGUGUGUUAGCAUUUCACAAUCAUUUUUAUAGGCUUUCUCAUGUAACUCACCACGUCACUAAGCGCUAGGUAAAUGCAAAUGAGACUCACACUUAGUGGCACUAGAUAACCAUUGCAAUUAAAGAUUUUCCCUCUUUAUAGUACGAUUAUCUAUCCUAAAUCCACUCACACCCGCUAGGUGUCUUGAGUGGUAAAACAAAAUGGCCCUAAUAAAAAUACCUUUGCCUUGAGCCCAUUUUAUUUUUCUCUUUCUUCUUUUCCAAGUUGGAGCACUUGAAUAUCAUCUUUCGGUCACCUCCAUCACCAUGACCAUCAUCUAGCUCCAUCACUUGGUGUGUACCAACCUAUCCUUAUAUUUCACUCAUGACAAAGGUUAGUACACAUUGGUUUGAUCAAUUAUCCAAAACCAAACUAGAACUUUCAAUGGAUACCAAUGCAUCAAUUACUAAACUUAUACUCUAUGAACGUUUAUGCAUCAAUUACUACAUAAUUUGUAUCAUUAUAAAUAUGAUAUUGUUUAGAGUUCAUCAGCAUAAACAUAAAACAUGCGUGCGAAGGCGCGCGCCUUCUACUAGUAUAUAUUACGUACCACGUACGGGAGAGGCUAUGGCUGCAAGGCAGCAAGGCCACAUGCCCGACAGGCGCUGCAGGGAGGCCUGCCACCAGAGAGCAGCUGGUCGGGGGCUACUGCACGCAAGCGUACAUCCGCGCGGGCCAGGGGAUGCCAUACACGUUUGCCGUCUCCGUGAAAGCGUGCUGGGGUCUUGUUUACUUCCAAAAAAUUUUACAAAAUAGGAAUAGUAGCACUUUUGUUUGUAUUUGAUAAAUAUUGUCCAAUUAUGGACUAACUAGGCUCAAAAGAUUCGUCUCGUCAAUUUCGACCAAACUGUGCAAUUAGUUUUUAUUUUUAUCUAUAUUUAAUAUUUCAUGCAUACGUCUAAAGAUUCGAUGUGACGGGAAAUCUGAAAAAUUUUGCAAAAUUUUUGAGGAACUAAACAAGGCCAGGGUCUGCUGCUGCACAAGAUGACGAGAAGGAAGAGCACUCUACAACGGCACGCGGAGGGGAGAGCAGUCCACAACGGACACGAGUAUUGUCCUGGUUUGUUUAGUGCCUCUCCUAACGUCGCGGGGAGGAAAGGAGCAGACAAAAAUAUUUCCAGACAAAAAAAGAGGCUAUGAUUUGAUCUCGAUCUGUUGUAGGGGUCUUUAAUUUGGUUUUCUCUUGCAUUCGGUGGGUGUAGAUUCGGAUUUUCUUAUGACUUUGUUCGGGCCUCUGAUCGUUGGAUUCCAGACUCUAGCAUACGUGUUGGACUCAGAUACUACUCUGAUUUCGAAGUGGGGAGAGGCCAGACGAAAAUUUUGACCAGACGAAAAUUUUGGGCGACGAAGAGGGACUCGACGACAGGUGCCAACAGGACAGAAGAGGGGCAAAACUCUCAAAAGACUCUAGAAAAAAUGAAAAACAGAAACGGUCUCUUGGCCCAGCGCCCGUGUUGAGCCGGCAUCCCCUUCCGUUCCCUCUAGCAGCGAUAGCGACGACCCGAGGCGGCAAGGGUGACCGGUGGCUGAGAGCCGCCACGGUAGACGAGCCCCAUGGGAGACAACAAGUCUCCGCUGAGCCUGAGCCUCAUGGCGGGCGCGACCAGGACUAGGAGCUCCCCAUCCCAGUCUCCAGCGGCAGCUCGGCGCCCUACGAUGGGUCGAGGACGGCGAUAGGGCCUCCUCCGCUCCGCCUCUGCCACGCUCUCCUCCUCCGGUUGCGAGGUAUGUCGCUGCCCGCGCCCGACUUGAGAAAACCUAGAAGACUUGAGAAAACCUAGUUGAUUUUAGAUGGAAGAUCUAAGAAAACCUAUUUGAUUUUAGAUUGGGAUAGUCCAGACGAAAAUUGACACUGACAUGAAAGUAUACCUGUGGGUCCAAACUGGUUGCGCCUUAUCGACAACCCCUUGGAACGCCUGUGGGCUUUUGGCCUUGGGCCUUGUUUAGUUCCGAAAACUGAAAAGUUUUCGGUACUGUAGCACUUUUGUUUUUAUUUGAUAAAUAUUGUCCAAUCAUGGACUAAUUAGACUUAAAAGAUUCAUCUCGCGAUCUACAGGUAAACUAUGCAAUUAAUUUUUGUUUUUGUUUAUAUUUAAUGCUUCAUAUAUGUGCCGCAAGAUUCGAUGUGACGGGAAAUCUUGAAAAAUUUUUGGUUUUUGGGUGAACUAAAGAAGGCCUUGCCCUCAAAGCAACCGGGACCUGCGAACGCGGCUGGCAUACUGGGGCCUUGUUUAGAUGCGAAUUUUGGAUUUCGCUAUUGUAGCAUUUUCGUUUGUUUGUGAUAAAUAUUGUCCAAUCAUAGAUUAAUUAGGAUUAAAAGAUUCAUUUCGCGAUUUACAGGCAAACCGUGUAAUUAGUUUUUAUUUUCGUAUAUAUUUAAUACUUCAUGCACGUGUCAUAAGAUUCGAUGUAAUAGAGAACCUUAAUUUUUUUUUUCAGGACCACCCACCGUGUUGUGUAACUUGUGUUGCCUUGUCUCUGGGUGCUUUGCCCUUGCCGCACCGCAAAGCACACAAAGAAAACCCACCACUCCAAGGCAGGCCCCAUCGGUCAUCGGCCACCACGCAGCAGCUCAGUCACCCCAAGCGCAACUGCUUCUUCCCGGAACGCACCUCGUCCGGUCCGGCAGGACGGAAACCCUUCUUCCCCUCCCAUCAGUCGUCGCCGCCCCGCAAGAAUCGACGCGAAUUAGGCCACCAUCUCCUGCCCUCCAGCCUCCUCCCCCAUCUCCUCCCUAUUUCUCUCUUCCUCCCCAUCUCGCAAAAUCCGCACCAGUAGGUAGGCACACCUGGACUCCGCUCCCCCUCCCAAAACCCUAGCGGGUUCCGGCCUCCCUGGCCAAUCCGAUCGACCGCUGCCGUGCGCAUUUGUUGAUCAGUCGAGGUAACUUCUCCAAUCGAACAUCUCUCCCUGGAUGAUUUUCCUGUUUCCGUUUUCGGUACUUUGUUUGAUUGUUUCCGUGUACGUCUGGUUUCUUCCUAGUUUACCUGUGUUGGACUUGGACUUAUUAGUCCAGACGAAAUUUAAGGCUGAAAUUUUGCCUCUUUAGUAUUAGGUAGGUAUAGGUAUAGAAGUAUAGAAAAUAUUGCCACAUCACAAUGAUAAGGUCGUAAGGUAACAAGUGAAAACAAAAAGAGCAUCUAAUUGGGGAAGGUAGCCUCUAGAGUCAAGCCCAGAGCAUCUAAUUCUGUCUCAGAUACCAGGUGCCUGAUGUUGUAAAAUGUUUGAACCUGAAUUCUUGCUCUUGACAGCAAUGCUAAGGGUCCGGGGUUUUUCCCUGAAACCAUAAGAAGAAACCUCUAAUUGGGGAUUUUGUAACUAAGACACAUGAGGUGAUUAACUACGUACAGCACUGCUUCCUUGAGUUGGAAGUUACAGGACUAAUAUGUAGAACCAAAUGAGGAUUUCAUAAAUCUACUGAGGAGGUUGCUGAUAUUCAGAACUCGAAAAAAAAAAAAUCUCUACUGCAGCAAUCUUGCACAAUAGCACACGGCUCAUAUUUACUAUUUCUAUUAUAGUCAGUUUAUAGCAUAUACCAUAAGCUAAGAAUGGGCAUAUUUUGUUUAGAUAUCCCAUGUUCCAGGUCAUAUAUAUUCAAAACACUACAAUCAUGAGAAAUAGUUGUUCCAGAAAAUACCAAAUGAGAGUGGCAAGACCAAGGCGAAAGACCUAGACCAAUUCUACCAUCUACUCCGUACAUUCGAAGGGGUCUGCUACAGACAAAUCACGGACAUGAUUAACAUGUAUACGAUGGGUACAUAUUUUGUUUUCAAAAUGUAACCGUGCACCUCUCGAGGCCCUUUUCUCCAUCUGAAGCAUCCUAUAUUGUUCUGCAAAAAAAGCCUCAUUGUAAUUUUCGUUAUUAACUUCGAGCCUCAUUAACUCAACUCUCUCGCAUUCAGUAGAAAGAAUGAGGCAAAGUUAAUUUGUGAUCUGAUGCCUCAAUACAUCAACACUAUUUUCUUGAGAUGGAUAUCAGAGUUUUUAAUGAAAUCCCUGUGUUUACGACGCCACCGAUUCAUUGCUCCUGAAAUAUAAGACUGGAGAGCAAAACAGAAUAAAAUGGGAAAACUCAAACCACAUUGGUGAAGGAUUAGCACCAAGUCAAGAAAAAGAAUAUAAGAACAUUGCGAUCCACAAACUGUAACUGAAGAAGUACCUUUAUGUACAAGUUCUCCAGACAUGGAAAGCAUUUCAUCAACUCAAUAACCAUAUCGAGAUUAAUAACACAUGAUGCGACAGCUAGAGUCUUGACACUGUUCACUGUUGCUGUCAAGCUUACAACUUCUAAUCCCUGAAUCAAGCAUUGAACAAAACAUCAAACCAUGUGCGAAUGCAGAUGAUAUGAAAAAUCUCUGUAACAGAAAACAAAACUCAGCAGACUUUUCAUGGGAACAAAAUAGAGUGCCAUGACUACCUGAAUAAAUAUGGUGCCAAACACAAGCCUGGUUUGAAAACAAGUAUCAUAAAGACAGCCUAAGGUCUCCAAUUUAGGUGCAGAUAUUAUAGUUAAAUUGGCUGGCUUGAAUGAACCAAACCGGAGAGAUCUUUCAAGACAAGGGGUAUCGACAAUUAUGACUUCCUGUAAUAACUGGAGAUCGUCCCUACAGUAAGCAGAAUCAGUGCCGACACCGAUGCUUCUAAGGGUAUUGGAACUAAUCCGGAGACAGCCAACCCCAAAGAUGUCAUUAAGCAGCAAACACUCUAGGACAGGGCAGCUGGAAAUCAUGGUAUGCAGUGAGCCCUCGGAGAAGCUGACAAUUUCAAAGCCGAGCUGCUUAAGGUGAGGAAAGUGAAUCCCUUCCACUGAGCUAUCCGGGAGCUCGCAUUUGCUGAAGGUAGCAACUCGGAGGGUAGCCGAGAACCGGAAAGUAGAGGCAGGUGGUGGAGCCAACGGAUACGGGCGAUCAUACCUAUGUGGAAUAUGGUUCCCUUCCCAGAAAUCAAGCUCCUGGAGGUUGUGAAGCGCCGGGGAGCUGAGCCAGGCGUCCACGGUGGCGGGACGGUCGUGGAGAUAGUGCGGCGGGACGCACAAGCGGCGGCCGGGGCCCGGGUGGGCGGAGAGGAUGAGGGAGACCGCGUUGGCGAGGGCCUCGUUGGUGGCGGUAAACAUCUUAUCGUCCUUGGGCUUGGUCCAGAGGUCUGUGUCGUCCAUGACGAGGAGAAAAUGGCAAUUUUGGCAUUAUGAAAACUGGACUUCGCAAUUUUGCCAUCCCGAUUUGCACGUUUGCCAUUCUCAAACGAUGUACACCCUUAAAUAUGUCCUGAGCAGAAUUUCGAUCUAAUUAAAUUUUUUUUUGCUAUGUCUUAUUUUUCUUCCCGUUUUGCCCCUCCUCCUUAUCCAUUCAUUUCAUUCACGGGAGAGGACAACGCAUUUGCCGGCCGCGUUCCCGUCCCAGAGUCGCGAUGGGAGGGGACAACGCAUCCGCCGGCAGCGCGUUCCCGUUCCAGGGCGUCGGGCUCGGCAGCGCCGGGCCAAGUACACGUCCUUGUUCGCCGUCCGGGAGCACCCCGACGCCUUGGUCCCCGAGCGCGACCGCCUGCUGCUCAGCCUCGGUCCUCGAGCGCGACGCCCAGCCCCCAGUGUCCAUGGUGCUCGUCUCCGUCGGCAGCGAGUACUUCAUGACGGAGGAGCAGCUGGUGGUGGAAGGGUGGGCCCCGAGGAGGACGACGACACCUUGGUCCCCGGGCGCGGGCUGGUGGUGGAAGGGUGGGCGCCGCAGCGCCGCGUCCUGGCGCACCCGGCCUGCGGCACGUUCCUGCGGGUGGAGCUCUGUGCUGGAGUCGCUGGCGGUGGCGCUGCAGCUGCACAUCGACCAAACGCUGGGUGCCAACCUGGCCGCGGAGCUGGGCGCCGCCGUGCGCGUGCCGCAGGAGCAGUUCGGGGAGUUCCGGGCCGAGGACGUGGCGCGCGCGGUGCACGGGGCCAUGCGCGGGGAGGAGACCGUGCGCUCAGGCGCCGUGCCGCAGAGCUGCGAGAGGUGGUGGCGCGGAACGACGCGGACGGCGCGCAGGUGGACGCGCUCGUCCAGCGCAUGGCGCGGCUCUGCGGCAAGGGACAGCAGCGAGUGGCCGUGCCCAACUGAAUUUCCGCUGCGUUGCGCUCUUGCUCUGUUUCAUUUAAAGUUCGUCUACUUGUCACUCAGACGGGGCGGCGCCGGCAGCUUGGCUCGGUCUCGUCCGCCGUGGAUGCGUUGUCCCCUCCCGUCGCAGACUCUGGGCUUCCCUCGGUCAAACUCUGCGAAUGCGUGACUGUCUCCCGUGAACGAAUGGAUAAAGGGGAGGGGCAAAAUAGGAAGAGAAAUAAGACAUAGCAAAAAAAAAUAAAUAAUUAGAUCGAAAUCCUGUUCAGGGCAUAUUUGAGGAUGUGUAUCGUUUGAGAAUGGCAAAUGUGCGAAUCCCAUUUGCGCGAUGGCAAAAUUGCGAAGCCCAGUUUUCAUAAUGGCAGAAUUGCCAUUUUCUCGUCAUGGAGGCGAGGUCUGCGCCGUCCAUUAGGAGAGGGGAGGCGAGCCAGACGUGGCGCCAUCGCGAGGCGAGGAUUUGGGUGCGACCGGCUUCCUUGGUGGAGAGAAGCCAAACUAUCUCACCGAGGACGGCGUCGGGGAGAUCGCUGAUGCGGUCGACGCCACCGCCGCCACCAGCAUCAGGCGGCGGCGGCGAUUCCAUGCUGUGGGUUGUAGGUGCGAGAUUGGCCGCCUCCGUGGCUUCCGUCGCCCGUGGCGGGGGCUCACCGGCUGCGAGGUCCUCGGAUCUCCUCCUCUUGGCACUGGGACACAGCGGCUCCAUCUCCGCGGCUGGCGGCCGGUGGCGUGUGGGGACGCAGCGCCGCCGCACCGGCACAAAGGCAGCGGCUUUGGACUCUGGUGUGUGGCAGCUUGGGAUGAAAACGGUCGGUAUUCGAGACCGAAUUCAUUUAGGCUUGUUUGGAUGUCGUCGAAUUCACCUCAAUCCACAUGUGUUGGAGUGGAUUGAAAUGGAAUUUAGUUCAAGUUCUACUCUAAUCCACCCCAACACAUGUGGAUGGAUACGAAUCCGACUACAUCCAAACAAGGCCUUAAAGGGAUUCUAUCCGAGUUUGAAUAUUUAACAUCUGAUAUUAUAUUUGUAUUCGAAUAUUUAAACUGUAUCUUAUUCGAUAUAAUUAAUAUUAUUCGUAUUUGAAUUCGAAUCCGAUCAUAAACAUAAAAACAAAUAUGAUAUUAGUUAUAUUUGUCCGAUCUGUUUUCAUACUAGUGCAGUGCGAGGGUGAGCCGUGCUGGGUUUUACGGCCCAACAACCAAACGCAAACAGGUUUCCACACCCUUUCUCUCGUGGAGUCGUGUGGCAACUGGGUGACCGCGUAAUCCAGGUCCCUAGGCCUUCGUUGGAUCCUUCGCGGUCGACGAGCGCCCACCAGGUAUCCACAUCCUUCCUGCUGUGCGAGAGUGAGCACGAACCCUAACUUAAGAUGUGGCUAUUUGUAUUCGAGAUCUGAUCGAAGUGUGUCCAUGGCCACUAACUUCGAAUUUUUUUGCCAAAAAUAUUGAGUUCAUGUCCUUUACUUGGUCCGCCCCUGUUCUGGAACUUCAUAUUUUUUACGUUCACUUUUGAGUUCUGAACUUCUGAUGCAUUCCGUUUGUACCAAAUGGCCAAUUUGUGAUGUGCUAAUCCCUUUUAUUUUCUCAUUUACGCCUUCUCAGUAAUGGUGUUGCCAGUCUCAACAAGACGCUAUCAGCAAUUUCCUUUAGUACGAAACAAUGGUGAGCGAUUGUAGUCAUGUUCUGUUACUUAUCACAGAUGUUUUUGUUCUCUGCAUUUUUGGUUGCUAGAGAUGAAAUGUUCAGUAAUUCUGCACUAUACAAAACCCAUUCUGGAGAAGAAGUUUUCUAACAAGUUAUCCUAGAGAAAAUAAGAGCCAUUUGGAAGAGACUGCAAGCCUAGAGUAGCUGUUGUAACAUUGUAUGUAUCCACUGUAUUUAAGAUGAACUGGCUGCAUGUUGGUGAGCUAAUCAUUUUGUCUGAUCAACUUCACUAAGUACUUCUGGACUAGCCUUGAUUAUUUUAUUCUAGUUAGCUUUAUCAUUUGCUUUUCUAAAAACUACAUAUUUUAGUAACUAACAAAUCAAUUAUACCCUUCUUUGGUUUAUUGUGACAUCAACUUCACUAAGUACUUCUGGACUAGCCUUGAUUAUUUUAUUCUAGUUAGCUUUAUCAUUUGCUUUUCUGAAAACUACAUAUUUUAGUAACUAACAAAUCAAUUAUACCCUUCUUUGGUUUAUUGUGACAUAUGUUAGUAUUUACUACAGUAUAUCAAUAAUCAUAUGGUUCUGUACAAAUAUUGCUUGAAUUCACUUCCUUUAUAUACUCUACCACCUUACCCUGUCUUUUCCUAAACAGGAUUUCCUAGAAUUUCUAGAGUAAAAAUGACAUGCUUGGGAACAAACCAAAGUAACCAUCAUUCUAAUACCGUCGUAUCUUUAUCGCCUAGCCAUGGAGAUACCAGAAAGAUCCACCCUGUAGUCAAAAUGUGUGGCAUCACAUCAGCUAGAGAUGCAGAAAUGGCUGUAAAGGCAGGAGCUGAGCUUAUAGGCAUGAUACUGUGGCCCAACUCUAAACGCUCUGUCUCGUUAUUGGAGGCAAAAGAAAUAUCAAGAGUUGCACAAUCUUAUGGUGCUGAAUCAGUUGGUGUCUUUGUGGAUGAUAAUGAAGAGACAAUUCUACGUAUGUCUGAUUCAUGCGACCUUAACAUUGUCCAGGUUUGGUUUAGAAAUGUUGUAUCCUAUGUUGUGUCCGCUGCUUUGCUAUUCUGGUUAUGAUUACUAUUUACACUUUCCAGAAUUUCAAAUAUGCAGCUCCAUGGUGAUGAAUCUCGUGCAUUGGUUCAUACUCUUUCAAAGAAUAAUCGUAUCAUUUAUGUACUAAAUGCUGAUGACAAUGGAAAACUAAUCAACACUCCUGAUAUAGAAUAUGAACUUGAUUGGUACUUAGUGGACAGUGCAAAAGGCGGAAGGUUAGUUCUUGCUCUCCUGAUAUGGCUAAAAUUUGUUCUGCUUGUUCAACAGCAAGGAAAUCAUGUGCUUGUAGUUAACACCCAAAAGAGAUAAAAGUUGAGGCAAUUGCAUUUAAGUCGUGAUUUGAAUACUCACUAAAUUCAGCGUUCAUAUUAUAUUGCAUUACUUCAUUGCAGAAGCAGUAUCUUGUCAUUCCUUACUCUAUAAAUAGUAGAGAACUUCUCUUAGAUUGUAUGCUAGCCAAUGGACAUAUUUCCCUUCUUAUCCAAAAGAUAUAUGACAAAUGUCACUGAUUUUCAUUUACAGUGGAAAGGGAUUCAAUUGGCAGAAGUUCCAAAUGCCAUCUGUCAAAAGCAAGAAUGGAUGGCUAUUAGCUGGAGGGCUUCAUGCAGAUAAUGUUUGUGAAGCCUUUUCUGCUCUGAAACCAAAUGGUGUUGAUGUUAGCAGCGGCAUAUGUGCUCCUGAUGGUAUCCAAAAAGAUGCAGACAGGAUUAAUUCCUUCAUAAGUAAUGUAAAAUCCAUGAAUUUCUUAUCAUAAGGUCAUUUGAUUGUCAAGAGUUUAGUUUUAUUUCACCGUGCGGAGUCCCUGAAUUACUGCAACAUGAAGAGCUGUCAAAAUUGCUCUUGCGGCUGAGGGCAAAAAAGUGACUGAAUUUUUGAAGAGUGAACAUUAUGUAUCACCAUUUAUUGCGGAGUGUACCAAACUCUUUACUGUAACCAGAAGGCAAGAUGUUGAAAUUGCGCUUGAGGCUAGGGAUUGCAUUUCUCAAUGUCAGUAUUACAUGUAUCACGGAUUGUAUUUGUUUCUACUAUAAUAACUGGAUUUUGUAUGCAUGUCCAGUCCAAAUGCAAAAAUAAAAAACAUAUUGUACCAUUGACAAAAUUCCUGCAGUAAAGGAUAUUAUCGGUUAUGACUUUUGGUUACUACUGGAGAAUUUUUCAUUAUUUGUAACUUGAUCAAAUUCGCCGUUUGGUUAGAUGUCAGCUAGUGUUUGUUAUGAGCAAAGUGUAGUACCACCAUGGUUUUUGUUUGGCAACAAACAGGGGUUGUGUGCCCAGUACCCUGAGGCUGAUUAUGAAAGGUAACACACGACACAGCUUCAAUUUUUUUGGACUUGCGAACCUAAAUUUUGCCUUAAAGAGCACAUUUUAUAAAACAUCUAAAACAUGAAUACUGGUGAAUCACAAUACAAAAAUGUGUUACGAGUUCAAGCAUCCCAUGCCACGAAAAAUUCUGAAUGGAAAUUUAGUUUUGACUUUGAAGCAUCCUUUUUUAAAAAGUAAUAUACAAAACUAACGUCGAUUACAUAGUUAACCUACAUCGACUAGCAUACAGGGCCCACACGGAUUACACUCAUAGGAAGAUUCUCUCAACAAUCCCUUGAAUUCAAGCUGACCGCAAUGGCCUCAGUAAAUGAUGGCAACAUCAACUUCCAAAGGAGCAGUCUUUCUGCACAUACAUCAUAUGCCUCCCAAGUAAAUGCCUAAGGAACAGAAUCAGUGGUUGCCCUCUGAUGGCUGCGCAUAGGAGAACGCAGGCUGUGGAGCAGUUGGUGGAGCUGGAGGAGCACCAGAAGUCGGACCUGCAGGUGCUGGUGGAUUCGUUUGGUAAAUUGCUGGAGGUGCUGCACUGUUAGGAAUGGGGGCACCUGGGACUCCAGAUGUUGGAGGCGGUAACGUUGGAGGCCUUGGGAGUGGGGCCAUCUGCAUCGGCAUAGAACCAGGUGGAGCGCCCGGUUGUGGCAUGGAGCCAGGUGGGGCGCCUGGUUGUGGCAUGGAGCCAGGUGGGGCGCCUGGUUGCAGCAUGGUUGGUGGACCACCAGGAUAACCUGACAUGUUUGGAACAAAAAAAACAGUACCACAAAGUAGUCAAUUGUUUGGUUUGAAUAGUGAAAUGUAUCAGGAUAUCAAUGUUUUUUAUGAAAAAUGUAAAGGACACUCUUCCAAAGGCCAACUUAUCAGCUGUGUGAAGUCAGCACAACAUUAAGCAACUACCUCCAUCCACAAGUAUCAGCAUUUGUAGGAAUUGUAGAACAUUAUGGAGGAAGCAAAAUGACUGGUAACCUUUAAUCAAUCGCUAAGAUUACAGAGAUGCAGUGCCUUUACAGAGAUGCCAGAAACAGAAGGCUCCAGUUAAAAUUUUAAACACCAACGUCAUGCUGAUGCAAACAGGGAAAGUAUUUUUUUAAAAAAAACUUAUGAGGGAGAGGCAGGGUUUGAUUACACAGGAAAUGCUUACAUCUGUCGACAAAUUUUGAAUGCUAGAAGUAGUAAAUAAAGAUGAGGGAGAGGGAGGGUUGAUUAACACUGGUAAACAAGGAUGCUUAUAUGCUUAGUCAAUAUGAUCUAUAAGUUACAAAUUUAUCUGCUAACAGAAACAUAGUACCGUGGUUUGAGAUAAACAUGAAAACAAUAAAUAUCAGAUUACUCUAAUUUAAGCAUUUUAGAUCUCCAAUUCUCCACUCAUCAUAAACCACAUGAUUAAUUGCUUUGGUGAAGGUUAAAAACUGGGGGAGUUUUUGAGAAUAUUUACAGUAUGUUCUAAAAAUCCUGUUUUGUUACCAGAAAAAAACAUUAGUACAGAACAGUUUGCACAUAUUUGUUUCCUUGCAGAAAAUGAAGACCAGUUUCUUCUGGAUUGGAAGUUUGGAACUGCGCAAAGGGUUUAGAGAUCGCUUAAAGUCACUAGUAACUACAAAUCAGGAUGUACCCAAAACAAAUGAAAUCCAUCAAAGUUCAUGGUACAAAAUAAACUCAACCUAAUUAACUGACAUAUGGUAGGUAACGAGUGUACCAAUACUCUAUUAAGCAACAUGAAAAUAAUUAAUGUACUGUGCACAUACAUGCAGAAGAAACUGAAUCGGGCCAUCACAAACAAGUAGCACUCUUUGCAGAACAUUCAACUUUUGAUGUUUGUUCUACUAAGAUUGGAGGCAGGGGUAAAUGUAGUUAUUUUUGAGGGUCGUAAAUGUAGUUAUUGUCUUCAAUGAAGAAAGCAAUAUAAAAUUAAUGGGUAGAGGCAUAAAUUAUGGGUUAUAGACAUGUACGCAUAAUAGUCAACAUAAUAGAUGCUAGCAAUCAUGAUGCAUGAUACAAACAGCAGCCCUGUUUACCUGGAAUACCUGGAGCUGGUAAAAUCGGAGGUCUAACUCCUGGCAUCAAUGGGGCACCAGGUGCUUGAGGGAAUCCAUGAGGCAUGCCAGGGGUUGGCAGAAUUGGAAGACGAGGACGGGCCACAGCUCCUGGGAAUGUGAGCAUAUGUUGGUUGAAAGGGGCACCUGCCUGGAAAGCUGCAGCUUGUCCAAGAUGCUCCUUGAUUCUUUGAUCAAUUAAACUUUGAGUUUGCUGCUCCUCAAAUUGCUGAUAGUAGGUUCGAACAUUCGCCUAGAAUAUUUCAAAUAAGGUUCAGCAACAUUUUAUUAUAGAUGAAUAGGCACGAAAAACAAAUUGGAGCUAUGGAGACUAUACAAAGAAUAAAAUAAAUACCUUGUGUUUGUAUCCAGCGUUGUGUUGCUUCCGGACAGAUGGCUGCAACAUUUUUUACAAUGUAGUUAACUCACGUUUCAAAAGAAGACGAGAAAUAAAAACAGAGUGCAUGGCAGCAAAAAGAAGACAGCAUUCUUGGAUCUAUACAGUUUGCAGAAGCAACUAUGUUGAAAUCACUUGUGUAUGCAAUAUAUGAAAGUCGAAAAGGGAGAACACAUAUUUCAAUUCAGGAAGCCAAGACAACUGUAGUUUGUGAAUAUCUCAUACAUUAUGCAAGCCCGAAUAGGUGGCUACCUAGUGCGCAACUAUAUAAAGGAUGGCACACUGCAGUCUAUAUUAAGCAUCAAUAAUUUCAAGGACCACACAAUGUCAAAAAAGUAUUCUUAGGGAGUUGGAAACAAAAUUGAAUUGAAACCACUGAGAUGAACAAGCAUGAACAAGUGGCAUAAAUAACUCUUAUUUCGCUUAUGUCCAUUAAAGCUUAUACUUGUCAGCAGCAGCAGCACUAAUGCUUAGAUUAGAUUACUGCAUGCAAUCCUAAGGAAACCUACAAAGAGAUGAUGAGUCUGCUACAUGUCUCUAGCCUUAGAAAAUUGAAGCAGAACAAGACACUACUAACCGAGUCAUGGGUCAGGUAGGUGUCACAGUAGUCACAGUAAUACCUGCACACGGCAAGAUCAAGAGACAAGUCAGAACACGAGCUAAGACAUAUAUAAAUCGAAAGGAGAAAUAUAUAUUAUGUAACAACACAGCACAGACAGGGCAGGUAGCAUCAUCUAACCGGCUCCUGGUGAGCAAACCCAGACCCCCAAUCCUACCGCAACGUGGAAUCGACCAGCGAGAUCUUAGCGCAAAUCGUGGGACGCUUCUAUUCUAUCAACCCCCACCCCCACACCCGCACCCCCCGCGGAUGGAUAAAUGGCGGGGGCACAAGUCGUGUAGCCAAGACAAUGACGCACUCACCGAGGCAUCGCAGCGGCGGAGGACGGCAGCGGCGGAGAAGGGGAUCGCGUCUCGGUCGACAACGGAGUCGGAGGCUGCUGCGUCCUAAACCCUUGCCAAUACGCACGAGAGUUCCAGGACCCUUUUCUGGGCUGGGCCGUUCAAUGGCAGGUAAGGGCCCUAUCCGAGUCGGGCUCGAUAACGGCCCAUAAGCUGAGUCCUGACGCUUCCAGUUCCAACCUCACUGCCCAGUGCCUCAAGGCGCAGCGCAGCCACCGGCCACCGCUGGGAGCUGGCGGCCGGAGAUGGCGCGUCGCGGUGUACAGCUCCUGGUGGCACGGGGGAUAUCCUCGUCGCCGUGCCUUUCUCGGAGGAUCAAGCAAACGGGUGAGGCGCAUCUUCCUUGUUCCACUUAUUUCGUUUUCCUAGCUCGCUUCGGGUAGUGUCAGUACCCUGGCUAUCAGUGUGUGGUUAGCACAUUUUUGGAUUUCGCAUGAAGUUUUAAUGAGAACUAGAUUGGCCUACGUAAGGUCGGAUUUAUAGAGAUCAGACAAAAUCGAAAGCAGUGUGGUGGUAGACUGGUAGUGUGGGGCUAUGAAGUUGGGAUGGAUGUCGAUUUGCGUUGGGAAACAUGUGCUUUCAACUACCUGGUGUAUCCAGAAGUUGAAAAAAAAACGAUGGAUUCUUUUGAUAUGUCACCAGAAUGUGGAACAGACACUAGUGAGGAGUCGCGAUGCAAAAAGUGUAUUGCAGUUUGUUUUAUUUGGGCUCUGUUAGAGUUUGUGGGAAUUCCUAACCUCAGCUUUAUAAUUCCAAAAGGGAAGAUAUUGCAUAAGUCAGAUUUGAUGAAUUGCUGACACAUAAUAUGUCUGUUGAUAUUGAGCAAUGUAAUGUGAAAUUUGCUAUGUUUAGUAUGAAGUAAAUUAAUUCGUAUGUUCAAUCAGUACCAGAAACCAAGUAGAAUGAAUUUCCUAUAAACAUAGUUCACAAGUUGUCCUUCCAGAUUAGAAGCUGAAGCGAGUCUUGAUUUGACGUGCGUUUUGUUAGUUUUUAGUCUUAAACUAAAAAAAAAACAAAAACAAAAAAAAACAAAACAAAACUUUUCUAAUGAUGACUGAAAUGCCAUGUUUUUUCUUACUAUCUUUUCUCCUUUCCUUGACCACUCUUGAUUUCUUGGCUUUCAGAAAGUGAGAUUGUUCGGAUGUUUCAUCCUCCAGUUCGUCAGAGUGAGGAAGCAAUAGCAACCACUGUGCCAAGAUACACACAUUCUGUGCGUGUCUUAGAUGAGAGGUUCAUUAGGAUCCUGAAAAUAUUCAAGUGGGGCCCUGAUGCUGAGAAGGCACUGGAGGUCCUCAUGCUUAGAGUUGAUCACUGGUUGGUACGGGAGAUUAUGAAAACUGACAUCGGGGUCAACGUGAAGAUGCAGUUCUUCAGAUGGGCUGCAAAACGAAGGAAUUAUGAGCACGACACAUCCACUUACAUGGCAUUGAUACAUUGUUUGGAAGUAGUGGAGCAGUAUGGUGAGAUGUGGAAGAUGAUCCAAGAAAUGGUACGGAACCCCAUUUGUGUUGUCACCCCAACAGAGCUUUCAGAGGUAGUUCGGAUGCUGGGGAAUGCUAAGAUGGUCAGUAAGGCAAUUGCAAUCUUCUACCAGAUCAAAACGCGGAAGUGUCAGCCAACUGCGCAGGCAUAUAACAGCAUGAUAAUAAUGUUGAUGCAUGAGGGCCAAUAUGAGAAAGUCCAUGAACUAUACAAUGAGAUGAGCACUGAGGGUCAUUGCUUCCCAGACACUAUGACGUACAGCGCACUAAUUUCUGCUUUUUGCAAACUAGGUCGCCGUGAUUCAGCAAUUCAGUUGUUGAAUGAGAUGAAGGACAAUGGAAUGCAGCCAACUACUAAGAUAUAUACAAUGUUAGUAGCUUUGUUCUUCAAAUUGAAUGAUGUUCAUGGAGCAUUGAGUUUGUUUGAAGAGAUGAGGCAUCAGUAUUGUCGACCAGAUGUAUUUACUUACACUGAGUUGAUCAGGGGCCUUGGUAAAGCUGGCAGAAUAGAUGAAGCAUAUCACUUCUUCUAUGAAAUGCAACGAGAGGGCUGCAGACCAGACACGAUUGUUAUGAAUAAUAUGAUAAAUUUCUUAGGCAAGGCUGGCCGUUUGGAUGAUGCUAUGAAGUUGUUUCAGGAGAUGGGAACAUUGCGGUGCAUUCCUAGUGUGGUGACAUACAAUACUAUCAUAAAAGCACUUUUUGAAUCAAAAUCUCGUGCUUCUGAGGUUCCAUCUUGGUUUGAGAGAAUGAAGGAAAGUGGAAUUUCCCCCAGUUCAUUCACCUAUUCUAUCCUGAUUGAUGGAUUCUGCAAAACCAACAGGAUGGAGAAGGCCAUGAUGCUACUGGAGGAGAUGGAUGAAAAGGGUUUCCCUCCAUGUCCAGCGGCAUAUUGCAGCCUGAUUGAUGCUCUUGGAAAAGCUAAGCGCUAUGAUCUUGCUUGUGAGCUUUUUCAGGAACUAAAGGAAAAUUGUGGCUCAUCCAGUUCUCGGGUAUAUGCAGUUAUGAUUAAACACUUAGGAAAGGCUGGACGGCUUGAUGAUGCUAUAAAUAUGUUUGACGAAAUGAACAAACUUGGUUGUGCUCCCGAUGUUUAUGCAUACAAUGCUCUCAUGUCUGGAUUAGCAAGAACGGGCAUGCUUGAUGAAGCUCUUAGUACAAUGAGAAGAAUGCAAGAGCAUGGGUGCAUUCCUGAUAUCAAUUCAUACAAUAUUAUCCUUAACGGGCUGGCAAAAACAGGAGGACCUCAUCGUGCAAUGGAGAUGCUUUCUAACAUGAAACAAUCUACAGUAAGACCUGAUGUUGUCUCUUAUAAUACUGUCCUUGGUGCCUUGAGUCAUGCUGGCAUGUUUGAGGAGGCAGCAAAGCUGAUGAAAGAGAUGAAUAUAUUGGGGUUUGAAUAUGAUCUUAUUACAUAUUCAUCUAUACUUGAGGCUAUUGGAAAGGUUGAUCAUGAAUAUACUGGCCAAGGUUGCUGAUGAGCAAUAGAUGGUGUUGUUUAUUUUCCACAUGACACAUCUAAUGCAGGCUUUCUUUCUUGAAAAAAAUAUUCUUUAGGAAAGCUUUAUCUGUUUGCAUGUAUGAUGUAUGAAAAGAUGUGCCUCAUGUUACUCAGGUGAAUUGUUGUAAAAGAAAAUACUGAAGACUGAAACUGAUCAAACUGUAAAGGUGUAUACUGAAUGGCUUGAUUGUCAAAGCUAGUAAUGAAGGUCUUCUACAACCCCUCUCCUUGCGGCGUAUACAGCAUCGCAUCUCCCUCUAUGCUGAUGAUGUGGUUCUCUUCCUUCGCCCAACUGCCUCAGAGUUACAAUUGGUUGAUGAAUUGCUACAGCUGUUUGGAACUGCUUCGGGGCUCCGAACUAAUAUACAGAAAAGCUGUAUCUCUCCUAUCCAAUGUGCAGAAGAGGACUUGGCUGUGGUGAUGACCCAUUUUCCUUGUGAAAUUCAGAAUUUUCCUUGCAAAUACCUUGGCCUUCCUCUUUCUCUCAAGAAACUUAAUAGAGCACAGUUACAGCCUCUAAUUGAAAAGGUGGCGGAUCAUCUUCCAUGUUGGAAGGCUGAUUUGAUGAGCAGAGCUGGUCGGGCGACAUAUGUGGAAUCAGUAAUUACUUCUACUUUGAUCUAUUACUCUACUGCCUUGGAGCUUGCUCCUUGGUGUUUGAAGGCCCUAGAUAAGAUUCGACGUAAAUUCCUUUGGAGAGGCCGGAAGGAGUUAAAUGGUGGUCACUGUUUGAUCACUUGGCCUAAGGUGUGUCGCCCAAAAGAGCUUGGAGGUUUGGGCAUUUUGGACUUGCAGUAUUUUGGAUGGGCCCUCAGGUCCGUUGGUUGUGGUUGGGGAAAACUGAACCCAACAAGCCUUGGGCUGCCUUCCCUAUCUCAAUAAAUAAAAACGCCCAAGCCCUCUUUUCCAUGGCUUUGACCACCACUAUUGGCAGCGGGUCUCAGACCAAGUUCUGGACGGACAGGUGGCUCAAUGGGAAGUCUAUCGAGCUACUGGCCCCCCAUCUUUUUGCUUGUGUUCCCAAAAGGCGUGCAAAAAAUCGUAUGGUCGAUGAAGCGCUUCGGGACAACACUUGGGUUCUUGAUAUCCAAGGGCACCACACUGUUGCAGUUCUGGCUGAAUAUUUGGAAAUUUGGGAGAUGGUUCAAGAAGUGGUUCUGCAACGUGAAGUGACUGAUAAGCACAAGUGGAAAUUUGAAGCUUGUGGAGAUUUUUCUACUAAAUCAGCGUAUAGGGCCUUCUUCAAUGGUGCUAUCUUAUUCGAACCCUGCAGGCUGAUUUGGGGCAGCUGGGCCCCCAGGAAAUGUAAAUUCUUCCUUUAGUGGUUCAUAACAGGUGCUGGACGGCAGAUAGGCUGGCCGGACGGGGUCUCCCACAUCCUGAGCAUUGCCCUCUUUGUGAUCAGGAGGACGAAUCUAUCCAGCAUCUCUUAUGUUCCUGCGUUUUUUCGCGACAGUUUUGGCACUUGCUGCUCUGUCGUUUUGGACUUCCUGACAUAGGUCCUCAACCAGACUCGACAAAUUUCUUUGAUUGGUGGCUUCAGGCUGGCAGCUCUUUCAACAAGGAAGUUAAACAGGGCUUCAACUCGCUGGUUUCUUUGGAUGCUUGGAUUCUUUGGAAAGGAAGGAACGACAGGGUUUUCAAUGGCAUCUCGCCCAAUCUGAGUCGUGCCCUUCUCCUUGCAAGUGAGGAGGUUGAUCUCUGGAUUUUGGCCGGUGCCAAAGGCCUCAGAAGACUUUAGAAGUCUGGUUGCUGUUCGCAAUGGUGGUUAGAGGCUUUUUGUUGUGUUUUUUGGUCGUCUUUCUUUGUCUAGGGCUUUUUCUGGAGUGGUUGUUUUUGUAGGAUGGUUUUUGUGUUUUAGUGUUCCUUUGCGUGUGUUGGUGUGAGUUUGGGGUGGUGUUGAACCUGUUUUGUACUUCGGCAUUUAUGCCUCCUUUUUUCUCUCCUAUCUUAAUGCAAUGAUACGCAGCUCUCCUGCGUAUUCCAGAAAAAAAAUAUAUUUCACUAAUCGAUCAUGUCUCUUGUAUUGGCCAGUCCUAUUACUUUUGCUAACUACAGUUAGUUCUUGCGAAGUGCGACUGACAGUUUUUCCUGAAAGGUUUGAGAUCAUUGAAGCACAAGCCUAACUACUUGUAUGUUCAGAUGUUUCUUCUGCAACCCACAUUCACAGGUAUACAUUCCUGAAGUCCAAGCAGGUGGUACUGUGCACAACUCUGAUUUUUCCAAUAAUUCUUUUACAGUGAAAGAAAAAUAUGGAACACUUAUUUGUCACACAUUUCUUUUGUGUGGUCAUGUCCUUGAUUCGGACAUGGAUAAAUCCUGGUGUCCUUUUGAUGUUAGCACUGCUAAAACUGACUUGUUAUUUUCAGUUACUACUCUAAUGGGGCCAAUGUCUGAACUUCUGUUGUUUCAUGGUCAUCUAGAUGUUCCGAGGAAAAGAAUGGUUCCUGGGUCAAGCUAUGUAGGCGUCCACAUUACCGAUGUACCUUCCGCUACUAGCCUGUAAAGCAAGAUUCCAUUCCACCGAAAGACAAUGCAGAGCAAGAAGGCAAGUUUGGGAUCAACACUACUCUGGAGCCUGGAGGCACAUGAUUACAUGAAGCUGCAUGCUUAACUGUUGUUAGCCUCUGAUAGAGCCUUUCGUUGUUCCUGAGAUUCCUGUAUAAACUGUGGUUGUAUGGUCCUUGCCAUAUACAGAUACGCUCAUGCACUUCAGCACAGCUCAACGGCAUGUGAACAAUCACAUUGUUUUUUGAAAGUGAAUGUCAUGACAUGACAGCACCUGGUUCAGCUCAUGGUGUCAUACUGCCAUUGAUGCGAAGCGAAGGAAUUCGUAAAAAGAACUGGUCAUGUAAAAUUUUGUCAGUAUUCAAAAUCAGUUGCUUCAACUGUCAAAUCUGAAUUGGUUUAUGCACGUAUUGUGCGUUAUAGAAAUCCAAGUUUGACUGAAACAUCAACUCAGCCAUAGUACUGGCUUCCACAGAUGUCGAUUAUCUUUAGAAGAAGAUCCAGAAAUGAAUGAAUGAAUGAGCUACUGCUCGCACCAAAAAAUUCUUGCUGUCUUUACUUCUGUAGGCAAGCACCGGACCUCUGACACUGAUUGUUAGGGCAUGAAUGUAUAAUUGUAUAUACACAGGUUAUAUUUAUUUAUAUGUAUAAACCUCAUCUGGAAUAACAUAGGAAUUCAGGGAACUACAUGCAUUUUACCACUACACUGCUAUCGUUGGACGGCAUCAAUCUAGCAAUGACUAGAUACAACAGAAAGAAUAGCCAAAAGCAUUUAUGGAUGAGACCCUGUCAUUGUACGGCCAUAACUGUCUUUGUUGACAAGCAAGAGAUGAUCAAGAAAAAUUCUCCUGAAUUUACAUGUCACUGCAAUUGCCGUUGUCUGGAAAUCUGCCGAAGCCCUGCUUCCAGGUCUUCCAACAUGAUCGUGAUCAUAGUAUCAGUGUCGUCGCAGUUGAAAUCAAGCCGUGAAUCCAGGUUCUCACGGGCAUUGAUGAGCAGUGUGUCUACAAGGCCUCCAUUCAUCUGUUUCCGCCUCUCUUCAGUGGUCUCUCUGGCAAUCAGCUCUCCAAUGACUUCAAUGCUGCAGCUUGGGUGCAGCUUAAACCCAUAAAGCAAGCUACUCUCACUUGGGCUCAUCAUCUUCAUAUGUAGGAUCUCUGCUAGUUCUGUCGUGCUGAAAUCGUCGAAAUAGAAGAAUUUUGUGACCCGCCUACAGAAACCAUCAUUCGAGGUGAUGACUCGCUUCAUUGGAUCACAGUACCCAGCAAAUAUGACAACUAUCUUGCCACUGUCCAUUACAGACAUUAUCUCCUCCAAGGCUUCUAAACCAUAAUCCUUGUCAUCGGAUUUUUGCAUUGGUAUCAACCUGUAAGCUUCAUCCACGAAGAGAAUACCUCCCUCUGCGUCUUGUAUCUGUUGAGCCAUGAUCAUGGUAACAAUGUAUUAUGUAAGGUAGAACAUGUAAUAGAAAUAAGUUCAGAAUUUGUUUCACAAAUUCUCUGAAAUUGAAAAUUGUGCAGCUGACAAAGCCUUUCUGACAAAAAAAUAGAGAAUAAAAUACCUUCCUCCUAGUCUUCGGUCCAGUAUGCCCCACGAAUUCUCCAACAAGAUCAGUUCGCUGAACUUCAGUUACUUUGUCAGUAGGGAGAAUUCCAACCAUGUGAAGGAGCUUUCCAAGAAUUCGAGCAACCAUAGUUUUGCCUGCAAUAGAGGAUGGAUAGUAUAAACAGAAUACUGAUGUUUUUAGUAACUAUCUACCCGAGACUUGUGCAUUUUACUGCACUGUACAUGUAAGUGCAAAAUAUAUAAGAAGCACACAAAAUUACAAAGAAUGCAGCCUUUUAAGGACAUGUUUAGUCAAACUUCCAGGUAACUACUUAUAGUUCAUGAUCAGAGCAAAAGCUCCCAACAAGUUGUUCAGUAUUGCAUAGCUGAUUAUAACUGUACCAUACAAACCCAAUGAAACAAUGCACAACACUAUGAAAUCACCCUAUGGAUAAACCAUGGCAAAGCUUUUCAUCAUAGAACUGAGCAGAACUAUGAUAACACAAAAAAAAGGUUGCUUCUUUUGAAAUUUUACCAGUUCCUGGAUUGCCAAGAAAUGCCAUAUGGGGAGCUCUCCUUCUAGCAAUCCCUAAGCCCAUAGCCCGUCGCUUCUCAUCAAAAAGCAUUCCCCUUGCCCAUCGGCGCAAUUGCAUUUUGAGCUCCUGCAAUCCAACAAUUUGUGAUAUUGCCUCUUCAAACUCUGACAUUGCUUGCCCUUCAACGCAUGACAUGAGAGCUUUCUUUUUUCUUUGCUCUUCCAUAUGAUGAGUGAGGAGUUUCAGCAGCUUCUCACUACCAGCUCCUCCUGGAAUAUGAUUUAAGGGCAUUUUGCCUUCCUGGUGAAAAGAUGUUAUAACAAACCUUACCACAUUGUAAAUUAUAAUAUGAUUUUAAACAAGUAAUUUAAAACCAUUACUGUGAAUCAAGUAGUACAUCAUCUUUUGCAAAGCAAUCCGCGUUGUAGCUUAGUAACACGCUAACCGUGCUGCAGUCUCCAGCUUGAAGUGCAUGCCAGACUGCUAAAUGCAAUGGUGUCAUGCCGUUCUGCACCACCAUGGGUUGAACAUAUCAAAUUUUGUGCGUGCAAUAAGACAAUCUCAAAGGAAAUGAAAAGAAAUAGGUAGAUUAUACAUUGGCUUUGGCUUCUAUGUGUGCACCAUGUUCAAGGAGUAGAUUUGUUGAUCCGCAAGAGCUGUUCUUCACUGCCAUAUGCAGAGGAGUCUCUCCAUACUGUAAAAAAAUGAGAUAAUUGGUUUAUGUAUCAAGCUCGAUGCAUGAAAGAAGUUUGGCAGAGUACCAUAUCAGAUGCAAAAGAAAUGUGGCAACAUAAGUACCAUGUUCUUUGCCUCCAGAUCAACUGUUUCUGUACCUUGCUGGUUAAGCAAGAACUUGACUAUUUCUGUAUUAUUGUAGCCAGCAGCAACAUGAAGUGGUGUUUGACACAUCUGCAGAUUAUUAUAUUUUCAGAGAGACUACAUUGCACAAUGUUCCAUAUCAUACUUAUUAAAUCUACCGUCUGUAAAUGACUAGUUUGCACUUCGUCCAGAAGGCAAUUAAAGCCACAAUUGCGAGCAAAUAAAGUCAGGUUAGUGCAUUACGGCAGCAUAGGAUAAUCAUGUCACAAAACAGAUAGGUGAUCAGAAAAUGCAGGCGAUAAGAAGGGACACGAAAGCGACCCCGCCUAAUGGAAAUGGCCGCAGAAAUUUUUUGAAAAGGAGAAUAAAAACAACUCGUAAUUACAUCAGACCUAAAUUUAAUCUUGCCUGCAAAGAACCAAAGAAGCAAGAUAAAACAAAUCUCAAGAGUAAAUCCAGGGAUCUUUUUUAAACAAGCCAGAAGAAAUGAAAAAAAAAUAAAUAAAAAUAUCAAUCAUUAGUGUCAUCUUGUUGGCCCAGAAAGCAUCGAAACGGCAGAGACAGAAAGAACCAGACGAGAAAGCAUAGGCUACACAAUGGAGCAAAUGAGCAAUUAAGUCGCAAUCAGCAGGAGGAACGCAAGCUAAACGCGCACUAAAGAAGCACCGGAACGAGGAGCAAACGACGCCCCGCCUCCCAAGAAAUCUGUUCCAAGAAAAGGAAGUAUAGAAAGCACAAUUGACAAUACCAAAGGGCGAAUAAUUAGCCAACGCCGCCGCACCGCCCGGGACAAAAUUCAAGAAUCAGCUCAAGAAAAUCAGGCUACGUUUACACGACUCCGAGCAAACUCACAUUUCUACACAUUAUUAAAGAAAAAAAAACAGUUCCUAAUGAAUCUAAUACGCUCACCCCUCGCAGGGGGCAUCAAGAACCGUGAAACUGACCAAAGAUCGCAUUUUUAAGCGAGAAGAGAAGCACGAAAGCCGCACGCACCACGGGAUUCUUGUCGUUGAGGAGGGCGGGGUUCUCCCGCAGCUUCCUCUGGACGCCGGCGAGGUCGCCGGCGCGCGCAAGACCGUGGAUGGUCUCGGCUUUGACCGGCCGAGGCCUCGGCCCCCCGUUCUGGCUCCCCGGCAUCCCCUCCCUCCCCCUCCUGUGAACCUCCACCUCCGCGUGUGCGCCCGCGCGAGCGCUCUCCGCGUGAGUGAGAGUGUGAGGAGGAGCCGUCGAGGAAGAAGAAAGGGAGGCGACGGCGAGGCCGUCAAGAGGAACGGGGGCGACGGGACCAGUGCUUUCGCUGUAAUUGGCCUUUUAAAAAUAGUCGCGUUCCUCGCAUUGAUUUUUUUUCUAUUUAUGUUAGUUUUUUUUUCUUUUUUUUUUAUUUUUGGCAUGUAUCCCGGAUUGUCUUGUUUCAUUUUUUGUGCGAGAAAGGAGUAUUUCCUUUGCUGUUUCCUAUUUUUCACGUGCAAAAGUAUUUGCUAGCCCUUGUAUGUAGUUUGGCUGUUCUCUAUUUUACCAGAAAAAAAUCAAGAAGGCGAAACAAAUAAAUGCUGCAGCCGUCCUUUGGCAAAGAAAAAUGUGGAGAAAACCAUGAGUUUUUACUAGGGUGGCUUUUGAGAAAUCUAGAGUUUACCUAUAAUAAACCUUUACAAAGGUCAGAGCAUAUCUCACACAUUAGCAAAAAAAAAACUAAUUAAAUCUACUAAUUUUACUAUUCUAUAAAACAGAUUUAAUAAAAAAUACUAGAGUAAUCUAACUGUAAAAUCAAGAGGCUUGAUGGCUAGUUAAGUAAGCUAUACAACAAUAGAGAGCGAAUAAGAAGAGAUGAAGAACUACUAAAUUUAGAGAGUUAUUUACAGAGUUUGUUUGAGAUAUUUUUUUAAAAAAUAGAUAAAUUUAGUUUUAGAAAAUAAUUUAGCUAAUCUCUUAGAGAUGCUCUUACAUAAUUAUGUUAAUUCACCCAGCCGACUAUUAGCUGAUUUUUUAGAAUUGGCCGAGAAUCUAAACAGAUCCAAUUUUAAUAGCCAACUAUAAGCUUUAGAGAUCAAACAUGACUAUCCUUGUAUGCUUCUUGAUUCUAUUGUGAUUACACAUUUUGAGCUACAUGAAAACAUCAUAAUUUUAGUGGACAAAAGAGGUAAGUUGAAGGGAUUGCGAGACAAUUUGAUUCAUCAACUUUAUCGCAAUUCUCACACUAUAUAAGGUUAAACUCAGUGGAGUUUCACCUAGAUUUUAUUUGUAUUUAAUAUCAUGACACAUUAACAAAAUUGGUGACUUAAUUAUGAUAAAUAUGAAGAGAGAUAGAGAGUUUUAUGAAUUUCUCCAGAUAAAAUCAACAGAAAAGGCUAAUGUGAUAGUUUUGAUAGCAAUAUCAUGAAACUCGCCAACACUUACGUAAGCACUAACAUCUUUUUUUGGCGACUAUGCCAAACACGUUUUCUAUUAAAAAAAAAGAAGAAAACUUAUAAACGAUUACAAUAACCUGUACCCAGCGCAAUACCAAAUGGUUUACUUUACAAGAAGGAUUUGCGACAUUGCUGAAAGCAGCACCAAAGCGCAACAUCUUGUGCAUGAGCUCGACAGUUUACUCUGGUCUUUUCACUUCUUUUUUCAGUCGUAUUUUUUUUAGUUAAUAACAUUUUUCUUUUAUAAUAAAUCAGUCAAUAAUAAUUUCAGUCAUAAUUUUUCAAACCAACGAACAGACCAGUAUAAACCUCACGAUUGUUUCGGAAAGCACAACAUUAUUUAUGGAGGAAAAGUUGUUUAAAUCAAGCCUGAUUCAUAUUUAAUAUUCUAUGGAUGUAUUGUAAAAUUUGAUGGGAUAGAAAUUUUAAAUAAGGUCUUAUUUUUUCCAAAUUUGUUUCCUGCUUGGCUACUGUUCCUAUUUCGGUCAUGGAAGCCAACCAUACAGCGAGGCGUGCGUGAGUGACCGGAUGAAGUUAUGGCGCGUGGGUCUGCACGUGGGGAGCCGCGUCGCACUCGGACAGCUGUCUCCGCAUGCGCCGCUGGGUGGACGGACGCGACGCGACUGCUCCGUCCAUUGCUGCCAGCUCUGGUCGCGUCGGCGCCGCAGAUCAGAGCACCCGAGUGUUGUUCACCUCAAAACCAUCACAAUCUUAUGCCACAUGCAUGAAGUAUUAAAUAUAGACAAAAAUAAAAACUAAUUGCACAGUUUACCUGUAAAUCACGAGAUGAAUCUUUUAAGCCUAGUUACUCUAUAAUUGGAUAAUGUUUAUCAAAUUAAAACGAAAGUGCUACAGUUUCGAAAUUUUUUUACUUUUCGGAACUAAACAAAAUUUUUGGUUUUCUAGCAUUUUUGUUUUUACGUGACAAUCAUUAUCCAAUUACAUAGUAACUAUGUUUAAAAGAUUCAUCUCGCAAAUUACAGACAAACUGUAUUAUUAGUUUUUAUUUUCGUCUAUAUUUAAUACUCCAUGCAUGUGUACAAAGAUUCGAUGUGACGGAGAAUCUUGAAAAUUUUUAGGAACUAAACAAGGCUUUAGGCCCUAUUUAAAUUGGAGAUGAAAAAUUUUUGAGUGUCAUAUCGGAUGUGUUGGAAGGAUGUCGGGAUGGGUUUUUAGAAACUAAUAAAAAAACAAAUUACAUAGCUCGUCUGGAAACUGCAAGACAAAUCUAUUAAGCAUAAUUAAUCUGUCAUUAGCACAUGUGGGUUACUGUAGCACUUAAAGCUAAUCAUGGACUAAUUAGGCUUAAAACAUUUGUCUCGCGAUUUUCAACCAAACUGUGUAAUUAGUUUAUUUUUUAUCUAUAUUUAAUGUUCUAUGCAUGUGUCCAAAAAUUCGAUGGCAUAGAUGAAAAUUUUUUGGGUGGGAAACUAAACAGGGCCUUAGAGCAAUUUCAAUAAGGCCAAUCACAGUGUUAUUGUACAAUUUCACAUACCAACACAUUAUUAAGAUUGAAAUAAAAUAAUCUAUGGAAUAACCCCAGCAAUGAAGCAUUUCACUUUAUUGUUUUCAAAGCUAAGCAAAACAUUUAAUUACUACAAAAUGAUUGGAUCAUAUACAAGAUGGUGAAACGAUUUAGCCCUCAGUGGGGAUUUCAUCCCGUUUCAUCGCGUGGAAAACAACGCCCGCAGGUUUUUACCAUGGUGAAACUACUUCCUUCUCUCUCCUCUUCGUUUCAUGCAAAAGUGCAGUUUUACUGACAUGACGCUCUAAUAAAUGUGCAUGACAUCCCAGUGAAAACCCACUGAGACUAGCCUAAUAGAGCAACGUGCUUAACUAUAAGCUAAGUGAUUAUAGUUAAGUUAUACAGUAAGUUAUCUCAUACUUAUCUCUAAAACAUAUUUUUUCUGUUCCUCCUCACAACACUUGCUAUUUGGGUCCACCACUACCUAUACAUUUGUGUCUAGCUUGGUGCUUGCAUAAGAGCAAGAUCAAUAAUAGAGCCAAGUGCUUGGCUAUAAGCCAAGUGAUUGGAGCCAAGUUAUACAAUAAAUUGUCUCAUACUUGUCUCUAAAACACCUUCUCUUUCCUAUUCUUUCUCACAACACUUGUUAUUUACGUCCACCAUUACCUAUGCAUCCAUGCCCAGUUUGGUGCUUACAUUAGAGCCAAGCUAUCAUCUCUCUCAUCUCUUCUCUCCUCCACAUCAGCAUUAGCUUGGCUAUAAGUCCAUUAUUGUACCUGCUCUAAGGCAGUCUCAAUGCAUGUUUCAUGAGAGUGUCAUACACAUUAAAUAGGGUGCCACAUAAGUAAAAUUGCUGACUUGGCAGAGUCAUUAAAUGAAGGAGUUUCAUCAGAUGGGAGAGGAGUUUCAUCCUCAUGAAACUCAUGUGGCUCAGGUACCUAGUUUAUUGUCUAAGUAACUGUAACAUAAAACUAUGCAUUGAGACUGGCCUAAGAGCCAAGCUAUCAUCUCUCUCCUAUCUUUUCUUCUCUACAUCAGCAUUUGCUUGGCUAUAAGCCCAUUAUUAUACUUGCUCUUAGCACUUUCGUUUUAUUUCACAAACAUUAUUCAAUCGUAGAGUAAUUAAGUUUAGAAAAUUCAUUUCACGAUUUACAUAUAAACUAUAUAAUUAGUUUUUGUUUUUAUCUAUAUUUAAUACUUUAUACAUGUUCUGCAAGAUUUGAUAUAAUAGAAAAUCUUAAAAAAAUUUGGUUUUAGGAUUAACUAAACAAGGUCUGGGAUAAAAAAAACGAACGGGCACAUAGCCCUUGGUUAGUUUCAUUCUUUUUUUCAAAAUAGAUACUGUAGCAUUUUUGUUUUUAUUUAAUAAAUAUCAUCCUAUCAUGAAUUAACUAGGCUCAAAAAAAAUCGUCUCGUAAAUUAUAACUAAACUAUGCAAUUAAUUAUUUUUAAUCUAUAUUUAAUACUUUAUGCUUAUACCACAAGAUUCAAUGCGAUAGAAAAUCUAAAAAAUUUUAUAAAAUUUUUUAUGAACUAAACAAGGCCAAGAGCACAGAACGAGUGUUUCUGUCAGAAAAAACUUUACGCGGCUUGUAUGAAAAGUUGUCGGUAGUGUAGUAUUUUUAUGCGUAUUUGGUGUCUAUUAUAGAUUAACUAGUUUUAAAAAAUAUGUCUCGUAAAUUAUAGACAAGCUAUAUAAUUGGUUAUUUUUUAUCUAUAUUUAAUGUUCUAUAUAUGUACCAUAAGAUUUGAUGUGACGGAGAAGCUUAAAUAGUUUUUGGAUUUUGGGUAGUUCUAAUUUUUUUUUAAGAUUUUCUAUCACAACGAAUCUUAUGUCACAUGCAUGGAGCAUUAAAUAUAAAUACAAAUAAUAAUUAAUUGCAUAGUUUAGGCCUUGUUUACUUCCUAAAAGUUUUGUAAAAUUUUUCAAGAUUUCUGGUCAUAUCAAAUCUUAUGACACAUGUAUGGAGCAUUAAAUAUAGAUACAAAAUAACUAAUUGCAUAAUUUGUCUGUAAUUUACGAGACAAAUCUUUUGAGUCUAGUUAGUUCAUGAUUGGAUAAUAUUUAUGAAAUACAAACGAAAAUGCUACGGUGUCUAUUUUGCAAAAUAUUUUACAACUAAACAAGGCCUAACCUGUAAUUUACAAAUCUUUUAAGCCUAGUUAGUCCAUGGUUAGACAAUAAUUAUCAAAUACAAACAAAAGUGCUACAGUAGCUAAAAUAAAAAUUUACACGAACUAAACAAGGUCUACUUUUUAAGAUUCCCCAUCACAUCAAUUCUUACGGCACAUACAUGAAGUAUUGAAUAUAGAUAAAAAAUAACUAAUUGCACAUUUUGUCUGUGAUUUGUGAGAUGAAUUCUUUGAGCCUAGAUAAUGCCAAAUGCAAACAAAAGUAUUACAAUGUCAAAAUCCAAAAACAUUUUGGAUCUAAACCAUACUUAAGGUCUUGUUUAAUUUCCUAGGUGAAACUUUUUUGGGUACUAUAGCUCUUUCAUUUGUAUUUAACAAUUAUUAUCCAACCAUAAACUAAGUUUAAAAAAUACAUUUAGUUUUUUAUCUAUAUUUAACAAGCAAACUAGUGUGACUAAAAAAUUACACUACUGUUCUUAAAAAUAAGUGGUCUAUCGUGGAGUAGUCUCUUCCCUUUGUUUUCCCUUUUUCAACAAAUUUAUUUUAUUUUAUGGUCUCAACUUGUUAGUGAUAGGAGUUCUCAGUACUACUCAAUAUUGAUUUGAUAGUUUAUGUUUACUUAUUUUUUGAUAAAAUUUGAAGUGUAAGAGCAUCUCAGCAACACUACCUAAAUUAGACUACAUAAAUGUCUAUUUAAGUAGCCGUCUUCAACUACUCAAAUUUUACUUCCAACGCCAGCAGUACUACCUAAAAUAGGCUACCCAAACUCAUCCUAGUAGAGAAUGAUAGAUGGGUCCCGCAUGUCAUUCUCUCUUCCGUAUUCUUCUCCACAGAUGAAGUCCCACUGGAGGAGGGGAGCAAGGACGAGGUCAAUGGAGGUUGGUGGAGCCGCAGUCGCAGUCGUGGAGGCCAGUCCCGCCCGGUUGCUGUCGGAGGGAGCAGGGGCAGGCGACAUUAGGUACGUGUUGAUGCAAAAGCUGGAUCUGCAAACACAAAGGGCUAAUACCCGGUUCAAACGUUAAGACGUGCCAGCCGAUUUGACCUUACUAUCGGCAAAGGUGAUAACUCGAAUACUUUGGUCCCGACAACAGCGAUGCGCCCGGAUGCCACGGCCAAGAGGUAUUCACGCGGAACUCGAGAAUACGCCGAGCUUAAGUCGACGAACUCCUAAGAACUCGUAAUGAAAAAGAAAAAAUAUGACGAAGUCGUCGAAAAGUAGAUGCUGAAAUAUGAGUAGAAACUUGUGUUUGAUUGAUUGAUUAUUUUUUUACAAGGCCCCAGGGUCUACAUUUAUACCCUGCUCAAAGAGCUACAAUCAGACACGACUAGGACUCGAAUUCCAAAUUAAACAGAAUCCGUAUACAAAACGAUCUAAACAACUAAGGAAAACACAAAACUAUUCCCUCGUGAUCGACCAAGACACCGCCAUGGGUCAAUCGGCAACUCCGCGGGGCCAUCGGCAAUCUUCCUGCUAUCGCCAUCGGCAAACAUUGAUGCUGACCAUCGGUUAGGAACGCGCCACCACUCCCUGACUUAGCCAUACUCAAUCGUCCCUUCAUCGGCAAUCUUCCUCAUCGGCAACUCCCCUGCAGACUAGUUACCGUUGCUUUAUCUUGCCGAUCUACACCCUACCGAUCCUGGAUACGUGUCCAAAAACGGUGUCAACACAUGCCCCCCAGUUUCGGAGUAUAAAAUCCCUAAUGCUCCAAAAUUCUCUGCUUUAAUGACGCCUUUCCGCAAUUAAUCCUUCCAAUUUGGUAACCGACCGUUGAGAUCGAACAACCCUGGGCCGAUCCUUCCGCAGAUUCCUCGAAUUUCUUAACCUCCCAAAUGGGACAUCUCCACUUUAUUCGCCCAUCGGCAAUAUUACCGUUGGGGGAAGCUGCCGAUGGACCGACCAGGAAAUCCCGCACAGUGAAAUAUCUCCAGAUCUUGACCGCUUUCUAUCAAAUCACCUGCACAAUCCCUUGAUUACCGUGCGAACAGUUACCAUAUCUACCUGAGCACCCUUGGAUUUUACGGAUAUGGUGAAGAGAUAAGUCAGAUUUGCUCUUGCCCAUUUUGUCCUAUAAAUAGUUCCUUCUCGGGUACUCCUUCUCCAUCGCAUCAUCCUACAGCCCCAACUCUACUUUUCUGGCGGCGGCGCUGUUCGAGAGCUCCAAGAACUCUAACGAAGGCUUUUCUCCACCAACCUCAAAGUCUUCGAUCACCUUCUUCGCGAGGAAAUGGCCAUCAACUUUGCUGUUCCUGAGGUCAGUUCAUACUUCUCUCUUGUAUUUUUACUGCAUUCCUGUUCAUCCGCAGUUCAUCUUACUGAAUACUCUUCUCUCACUUUUUUCUUUUGUUCUUCUUUUUACCACAAAAACCAUUAGGAUCUGUCCAAUAAAAUUGUCAUCCCUACCGAUCAGCCACACCUCCCAUGUCUCGGUCCGCUAGGGAACCCAGAUCCCACCGAUCUGAUCAACGCAGAAACAAACAGAAUCCCCUUUAGAGCCGAGAAUUUUUCUCCAGAUCUGUGGAAAGAUACCUUCCGUUCCUAGCCCAGUCCUACCGUGGGAUGGAAGGAUUGGUUCUUGAGAGUCAGCCAUUCGAAUGAGGUUCAGUGGGGCGAACGAAAACUGGACUAGUGCAUUAGGCUAUCUCUUGCCGAUAUGCAUAGGAAUGAAUCACUACUGAUUGCUGCAUCAUAUUUUUGGUCAGACACACUUAAUGCCUUUGUCUUCGGCCAUGGCCCUGCUUCUCCCACUCUUGCCGAUGUGCUUAUGCUCACCGGCUUAGAUGUAUCCACUGCCGAUAGUAGCCACAUAUUUGACACCACACCUAGUGCCAAGGUAGAAACCUGCUCUAUCGGCGGCUGGUCUGGGUAUAUUCAGAAGUACCGUAGAACGAGGCCUGUCAACAUAAAGGAACAAACCACCUUCCUGAACAUGUGGUUGGACAAAUUUGUGUUCUGCGGUCGAUCGGCAGGACCAACCUCUGUUUACCUAUCGACAGCAGAGAGAUUAGCUAAUGGUGGCCGAUUUCCCCUCGGCCGAUACCUGCUUGGCUCGGUUUACCACCUCCUCCAUCAAGUAGCCAGAAAAAUCCUACUCGGCCAAUCCAUCGGUAACUUAGGGGGCCCCUGGUGGUUCAUCAAUAUGUGGCUUAGCCUCCAUAUGCACAAGCGUCUCGAGUUCAACCUCUUUGCACAACGCUUUCCUAGGGACAUAGCCGAGAAUUAUGAAUUGGAUGAAGAGGAAUCGGCAACUCGACCUCCUCUGAAUUUUGGCGAGGCUACCAUAGUUCUACCUGGUACAGGUGGUAAUGCAGACCAGGUUAGCCGAUUCUCCAAGACCCUGUACGAAGGCCUGACCAGAGAACAGUGAGCAUGGAUGCCUUAUGAAGAUCCAGACAUCAUGUUUCCUUUGGUCUUUCAUCCGUUCAACGAUGCUCUUAAGAUCAUGAUGUGAUGAUGGCACUUAUCACUCCAAGAGCCAUACCAGUAAACUUCUUCGGCAGUGGGAAAGCUUCCAACCAGACCUAUGAAUUUUACAACCCAUCGGCAUUAGCCCGUCAACUAGCUUUCGGUCAGCUGCCGGUUGCGCUUUGUUAUGCCGAUGUGAUAAAACCCAGGGAAACCAUCACCAGUCUUCUAGAGUGGACCAGGAUAGCUCAACUGCCACCGAGUGCCGAUACAGAUGCAGAUCUAUCAGAGUGGAUUCUGGCCCUCUUCAUUACUCAGGCGUACAAACAAUGGUGGGAAGAAUGGAAGGAGCACUUGUUCUACAAAUCGGCUCUCACGUACCGUGGCAUGAUCGACCCCCAGUACAAAGUCCCCGACAAUACUGUAAGUAUUUCCAAACCGAUGCUCCAAUCUUUUUAUUUUCAUUUUCAUCGGUAACUUACUUUCUGCAUUAUAUUACAGGUUGACGACACACCGCCUUCGGUCAGUAGGAGUGGCAAGCCGAUUGAGCUUUUUCCAUCAGGUCCAAUCUCCUCGAUCAGCAACAAUGCUCCUACCUUAGCUGACAUAAUGCAUCGAGGUGUGCGCCUCAAGAAAGUCACCACCAAAAGGACAAAGGCAUCUCCAUCGGUAGCUGCCUCUACUUUAGCACAGGCCUUCAAGGUAAAUUUUUCAAACUCUUUCAUCCAUACCGAUUCCAUUCUUACAUCUGUUACACUUGUACUCACGAAUUCUCAUUGUUGUAUUAGCACACCGGCGCAUCGGCAAGGACCAGAAGCACAAGUGCCGAUGCUCCCCAGUCUAGUCAACUGAAGAGAAAAGGUACCAAGAGUACCGGAACCCAAGCAAAACACCAGAGAACAGUAGUGCCCUCUCCUCCUCCAAUAUCACCGAUCCCGGUGGAAUCUUCUCCUUCUUCUCCAGAAGUCCAGACACAACAGAUACCUUCUCCUCAACCACAAGAAGAACCUCACGCAGAAGAACCCUAGCCGGAGGAACCUCAACCAGAAGACACAUCGGCUGACGUGCACGAGCAAACUGCCGAUCCAUCAAGUUCAAUUAUAGCAUCGGUGGUUUCCUCAAUCCAAACAAGUACUGCUCCCCCUCAAGGUAACAUACUCUCUAUGAAAUCUUUGUCGAUGAACCUACUUUUCCUGCAUCAUAAUCUCUGUUAAACUUUCAGCUGACAUAGUUCCAUCGGCAAACCCAGCCGAUCAGCCCAUGAUUCCAUCGGCAUCUUCUUGUCAGAGGCGAGAGAUUGCCCUGAAACAAGUAAGUCACCCAAUCCCUAUCUGCAUUAUUUAUCAACACUUGAUCAUGGAAUAACUUAUUUUACUUCCUUUUCAGGAACAGGACUCCCCUGACAGUUUGUUCUCCUUUGCCAUCGACAUCUCUGAAGAUGAAGGCGAGGAGGCAAGCUCUUCUUGAACAAUCGGAAUCACAUCGGCAGAAAUCAGAGCCAAGUUAGAAGAAUUGUUAGCCCUCCUCCAUCAAGACACAGCCCAACUGGUUGAUGAUUCCGAUCUGGCCAAGGCCUUGUUCAAGACCCUCAGAGGCCAAAUUCCUGCCGAUGCCGAAGAAAUCCUCUUUCAAGCUGCACAUUUAGAGAGCCGUCAGCUGCAAUAUCAAAAGGCUACCCAGCGUCUUGCCGACAGAGCUGCUCAGGCUCAGCUUUCUGAGGAAAUGAUGAAAGUGAAGCUCCUUGCCGAUGAGAAGCACAAGAAUAUCGGCAUCCUGAAGUCCUCAGGAGAUGUGCUGAAACACAAGAUCUCUGAUCUGUCAGCAAAAAGAGAGGCUCUGUUGGCAGAGCUCAAGCAAGUAGAAGAAGCCUUGUCUCAAGCCCAGCAAGAGGAAAGCCAGCUGCCUGAGGUGAUCAAACUUCUCAAACAAGAGCGAAAUGUCCAUGGCCGGAGAGCGCUACAGAUGAAGAAAAAGCUGAAGCCAUUGGAGGGCUCUGCCGAUGAUGACGUGAAGGAAAUAGUUGAAGCCAACCAGAUCCGUCUUCGUGCUAUAUCGACUAUCUAGGCGUUGUUAAACGCGUGAAAUCUUCAUCGGCAACAUCCUAGCUCUCUCCUUCCCAACCCUUCUGAUAUUUUGGUCUAGCCGAUAGGACUGUUAUCGACACCUCUUAAAACAUUAAAUCCGGCCCCAGAUACAUUUUGAUCCAGCCGAUAGGAAUGUUAUCGGCACUUAAACUUUUAUGCAUCGACCCAUAUGCUUGGGUAAUACUUCUUUAGAUAUUUUCCAUUUAAUGCUCUGGGAAAUUCAACUCUUUCAAGAGUUUCUAAAAUAUAGGCGUUACCAGGGGCCGAUCGACUUAUCCGAUAGGGACCCUCCUAAUUGGGAGACCACUUCCUAAAUUUUGAACUUUUAGUCCCGAUCGGUAAGAUUAGCUUCCAUACUAAGUCUCCAUCAGCAAACUCCUUAGCCUUCACCUUCUUAUCAUACCAUCUGGCAACUCUCUUCUUAUUCUCUUCUAUACUCAUCAAAGCCUUUAGCCGAUGCCCUACUAGAUCAUCCAACUCGUCUGUCAUUAAAGCAGCAUAAUCAUCGGCAGCCAACUGGUCUUGAAAAGAUAGUCGCCUAGACCCAGUCUUAAUUUCCCAAGGUAACACUGCAUCAUGCCCAUAUACCAACUGAUAAGGUGAAACCUUAGUCGAUCCAUGACAAGCCAUCCGGUAUGACCAUAAAGCUUCAUUUAACAACGUGUGCCACCUCCUAGGAUUUUCUUCAAUCUUCCGCUUAAUAAGCUUGAUAAUUCCUUUGUUAUACGCCUCGGCCUGUCCAUUAGCUUGAGCAUAAUAAGGAGAAGAGUUUAAUACCUUAAUUCCCAUACCGAUUGCAAAUUCAUCAAACUCCCCUGAUGUGAACAUAGUACCCUGAUCGGUAGUAAUUGUUUGAGGAAUUCCAAAUCGGUAAAUAAUAUGCUCUUUCACAAAAUCGAUCAUGUUGGCCGAUGUAACUUUCUUUAAAGGAAUAGCUUCAACCCAUUUGGUGAAAUAAUCAGUGGCAACUAAGAUAAACUUAUGUCCCUUGCUGGAUGGUGGAUAAAUCUGGCUGAUCAAGUCAAUAGCCCAUCCUCGGAACGGCCAAGGUUUGAUGAUAGGAUUCAUGGCCGAUGCGGGUGCUCUUUGAACAUUGUCAAAUUUCUGACAUCCUUGACACCCCUUGAAAUAUUUAAAACAAUCUUCAAGUAUGGUCGGCCAAUAAUACCCAUUCCUCCUAAUCAUCCACUUCAUCUUAAAAGCCGACUAAUGUGCUCCACAUACUCCUUCAUGGAUUUCUCCCAUUAAACUUUUAGCCUCAUCAUCACCUAAGCAUUUGAGAAGAACUCCAUCAAUUGUUUGAUAAUAUAACUCAUCUUCGAGGAGCACAUACUUGGUGGCUUGAAACCGAAUACGUCUCUCAACUUUCUUGGAUGGAUCCUUUAAAUAAUCAAUGAUUUCCUUUCUCCAAUCAUCGGCACCGAUUGCCGAUAUUACGUUUAUCAUGGGCUGAUAUCCCGAGGCAUGCUGAGCCAACCGAUUGGCCUCUUCAUUAUGCAACCGAGGAACAUGCUCUAAUCGGAAAUCCUUGAAUUCCUUUAACAGUUGCAUACUCCUUUCGUGAUAAGUUAUCAAAACCUCACUUCGGCAUUCAUAGCUCCCAGCCAAUUGAUUUAUAACCAGCAUAGAAUCUCCGAAGAUUUCAACAGCAUCAGCAUGAACUUCCCUAAGUAAUUCCAGCCCUUUUAUCAAAGCUUGAUACUCAGCUUGAUUAUUUGUUGACGUAGCAACAAUCGGCAAGAAAAACUCGUACUUCCUUCCCCGAGGGGAAAUUAACACUAUGCCGAUUCCUGCCCCCCGGUCACACGUGGAUCCAUCAAAGAAGAGUGUCCAAGGUAUAAUUUCCAAAGUCUCCACUGUAUCGCAAUGCUGAGUUACAAAAUCGGCCAUAAUCUGUCCCUUAACCGCCUUAGCCGAUUCAUAACGCAAAUCGAACUCCGACAGUGCCAAAAUCCACUUACCGAUUCUACCGCUCAUGAUCGGCAUAGAUAGCAUGUAUCGGACUACAUCAUCUUUGCAAAUGACAGUACAUUCGGCCGAUAAUAAAUAAUGCCUCAAUUUAGUACAUGAGAAAUAUAGGCACAAACACAACUUUUCAAUAGCCGAAUACCUGGUCUCAGCAUCAACCAACCGCCUGCUUAAAAAUAGUAAAUCACACGUUCCUUCCCCUCAAAUUCUUGAAAUAAAGCCGAACCGAUGACCAUCCCAUCGGUAGACAAAUAUAAUCUGAAGGGCUUUCCUUGCUGAGGUGGAAUCAGAACCGGAGGAUUUACUAAAUAAUCCUUGAUUUCAUCUAAGGCCAACUGUUGUUCCUUCCCCCAAACGAAUUCUUGAUCGGCUUUCAACUUAAGUAAAAGACUAAAAGCACGAAUUUUACCAGACAAAUUAGAUAUGAACCUCCUGAUAAAAUUUACCUUGCCGAUCAAGGAUUGGAGCUCAGUCUGGUUGGUAGGAGCAACUAUUUUGUUGAUAGCAUCAAUGGAUCUCCGACUAAUUUCAAUCCCCCUUUGAUGCACCAUGAAACCAAGGAAUUGUCCUGCCGAUACACCAAAUGCACACUUAUUGGGAUUCAUCUUUAAACCAUGCUUCCUUGUGCAUUCUAACACCUUUCGCAAAUCGGCAAGAUGCUUUGUGAAGUCUCCAGACUUAACUACCACAUCAUCAAUAUAGAUUUCUACCAGCUUGCAGAUGAACUCAUGAAAGAUAAAAUUCAUGGCCCUUUGAUAAGUAGCACCGACAUUUUUCAAGCCAAAGGUCAUGACUAUCCACUCAACUAGCCCAACAUGACCAAGACAUCUAAAUGCAGUCUUUGGAAUAUCCUCUUCAGCCAUGAAUAUUUGAUUGUAUCCUGCAUUGCCAUCCAUAAAGCUGAUGAUCCGAUGUCCAGCUGCAGCAUCAACUAGUAGAUCGGCAACCGGCAUUGGAUAACCAUCCAUCGGCGUAGCUUUAUUAAGAUUCCUGAAAUCAAUGCAAACUCGAAGCUUCCCAUUUUUCUUGUAAACUGGAACAACAUUGGAAAUCCAUUCGGCAUACUGACAUUGCCGAAUAAAUUUAGCUUCGAUAAGCUUAGUUAUUUCGGCCUUAAUAUCAGGAAGGAUAUUAGGAUUACACCGGCGAGCUGGCUGUUGAUGUGGCCGAAAUCCAGACUUGAUAGGCAACCGAUGUUCAACAAUUGAUCGGUCUAAACCAGGCAUCUCAGUAUAAUCCCAAGCAAAGCAAUCUUUAUAUUCCUUUAACAAAUCAGUUAACUGUUGCUUACACUCAGAAUUUAAUUUAGCACUAAUAAAAGUAGGCCUAGGUUUAUCACCACUACCUAUAUCCACUUCUACUAAAUCAUCGGCCAAUGUGAAUCCCUGGUCUAAUUUUCCAUCAUCGGCGAACCUAUCCAUUAAAACUCUUCAUCAGAACCGACUGCUUGGAUCGGUGGAAUUUCAUAAUCGGCGACUUUGAGGAAAUCAUUUUCCCAAACAUCUCCUGAAAUACACCUAGUUCUUUCGUAGAUAUCUGCCUCUGUCGAUGCAAUAACAUAGGAAGAAUCUCCCGGGACAAUUUCGAUCUUGUCACCUACCCACUGGACCAAGCAUUGGUGUAUUGUUGAUGGUAUGCAACAAUUGGCAUGAAUCCAAUCUCUCCCUAGCAGUAGAUUAUAAGCACCUUUUCCACUGAUCACAAAGAAAGUUGUUGGCAAGGUCUUGCUGCCGAUAGUCAAUUCAACACAGAUGGCUCCCUUAACCGGAGACACAUUCCCUUCAGAGUCUUUGAGCAUCAUAUCGGUCUUGGUCAAAUCUUGAUCUCCUUUUCCAAGCUUCCGAUACACUGCAUAUGGCAUGAUAUUGAUAGCAGCUCCACCAUCAAUUAAGAUCUUGGUCAUCGGCUGACCAUCCACUCUACCUUUGACAAACAGGGCCUUAAGAUGUUGCCUUUCAUCAUCGGCAGGCUUUUCGAAGAUGGGUGUCAUCGGGUCCAGAGCCAACUGAGCUAUUUGGUCGGAAAACUCCAACGGCGCAAGGAAUUCCAUCGGUAACAUAAAUACCAUGUUGACAUCUAUCGAUGGACCUUUUCCCUUAGGAUAUGAUUGUUGCUGAUCCUCAGACUGGCCAGAGUUCUCCCCCUUGCUCAACUCUUCUCGUCUUUCGCGUUGCAGCCUCCUUUUCUGUGUCCUAGUCAACCCUUCUGGACACCAUAGAGGAAGUUGCUGCUGCUUUACCGAUGGGCGACGAUUUUCCCUUGACUCCAUACGAUAAGUAUUGACAUCCCUGCAAAAUAUGAACUCAUCGGGAACUCGUGCAUUAGCCAUCUCCUCAAGUUCUUCUUGGUUCCUGGGAAAGUAUUCAACACGGUCACCAAGCCUAUCAUGCACGCUUAGCCUGCCCCCCAGCCGAUCAAGAACCGACGCUCUCCCCCUAAUCGGCCCAUCAAGCCGGCGGUUAUUGUUCUGAUACUGCCGAUUUGAUCUGUCAUACCGAUCAUAACCAUUACAUUCCGGGCAGUCUCUGACAGUAGGAAGCUUGAUAUUUUCCUCCUAACAAUGGAUGAAGAACGGACAAUUCCAGUGAUCCCUAUGCCGAUUCCACUCUUGUCGGCGUCUUUCUUCUUCCCGAUGAUAGUCUUCUUGCUGGCGCCGAUACCGAUCCUCACGUUGCUGCCAAGUCUCCCGAGGCCUUCUAUGAGUUAUCACAAUACCAGAUCGAGGAGGCCUUCCUGAGCUAUUUCCUUCCUGGAUUAAGCCUUUCCCUUUUGCAUCGGCAGUGGUAAUCUGAUGCUGAGGAUCCACCGAUGUACUUCUUUCAGCUGCUUCCGAUGUCAAGACCUUAGCCUUUCCCUUUGCGUCCAGCAUGUUUGUUGGGAAAGGAAGUUGAUCAAUCUUCAUCAGCUUCUGAGUUUUGGAGCUAUCAAAUUUGAUCCUCCCAGAUUCUAUAGCCGAUUGCAGCUGUUGUCUAAAAACUUUGCACUCAUUGGUGCUGUGAGAAGUUGCAUUGUGCCAUUUGCAGUACUUCAUCUUCUUUAAUUCUUCAGCCGAUGGGAUUACAUGAUUGGGUGACAAUUUGAUCUGACCUUCCUGAAGUAGAAAGUCAAAUAUUCUAUCGGCUUUGGUGAUGUCAAAUGCGAACUUCUCCGGCUCUUUGUGCCCAAAAGGGCAAGACAUCGGCUUCUUAUUUUUUACACAUUCUGCCAAGCCGAUGACUGGUUCCUCAUCAGAGUCCGAGCUUGCUGCUUCGUCCACAAAUGAUACCUUUUUGUUCCAUGCUCUCUUGGGCUCAAAAGGCCUGACAUCUUGAUCAGAAGUUCUCUGCACGAAAUGACUUAAGCUUUCGAACUCUUGAGAUGCAUAUUUGUCCCUGAUAUGUGGCAACAAACCCUGGAAAGACAAAUCGGCUAGCUGCCGAUCAUCCAAAACCAGACUAUAGCAUUUGUUCUUGACUUCUCGUAUUCUCUGCACAAAACUUUCAACCGAUUCAUCGUUGCGUUGCUUCAAUUUAACCAAAUCGGUGAUCUUCUUCUCAUGGACUCUAGAAAAGAAGUACUUGUGGAAUUGCUUCUCUAGAUCGGCCCAAUCACUGAGUUGGGAGGUAACGAUAUAAAUCAGGUGAAUGCUGAUCCAGAUAAUGACGAUGAGAACAACCGAACCCUUAACUCAUCCCUGUUAGCAGCUUCUCCACAUUGGAUGAUGAACCUGUUGACAUGCUCCAUAGUUGAUGUAUCAUCCUGACCAGAAAACUUGGUGAAAUCUGGUACCUUGUACCGAUUUGGAAGUGGGAUUAAAUCGUAUGCAGGAGGAUACGGUGUUCGAUAAGAGUAAGUAUUGACUUUGGGUUUAAUCCCAAAUUGAUCUCUCAUUACUUCAGCAAUCUUAUCGGCCCAAUAAGCAUCGGCGUCUUGCCGAUGAGGCGGUUGCGGAUCUGGCACCUGCUGAUAGGCUUCCACGUGUCUGUGCGGUGCACGAUCUGCAUGGAACAUUGGGUUAAUCAUUUGGCCACCAAUCUGCUGACCGCUGAUCCGUUGACCACCAAGAUGUUGACCACCAAACUGCUGACCACCAAUCUGCUGGCCGAGAUUCAUCGGUUGAUUAGGCAACCCUUGAUUCUGGAACCCGGGGUAGAUCUAGCCUUGUUGAAACCCUAUAGCCUGAUGAUUCUGUUGGGACAUUUGUGGAAAGACUUGCUGCUCAGGCCAUCCACUAUUAGCAUUCAUCGGCAUGGGACCUGCCGAUGACUGGUAAUUGGGCAUCAUCAUUGAAUUGACAUACCCUGGCUGAGUCAUGAACCUCUGUUGCGUCAACAUUGAAUCUGCCGAUGUGUUAGGCACCUGGAACGUUGGAGCUUGAGAAUUCUCAGUGUAAGGUCUUGCAGUAGUAGUUGUAAAUACUGGGGACUCUGAUUCAUCGGCAUAUUUGGAGGUGCCGAUGACAUAGGAGCCUUGCCUCUCAUAUCAGCUGCCUGAGAUGUGCCAGGUGUCUUCAACAAGUAUUCUGGGGGCAUACCAAAACCCCACCAAUUAGGAGGAACGGAUCCCGACAUUGCCGAUGCCAAUAGAUCUGUAGUAAGCUUGAUCGAUUCAUCUGAUGUUGAUGGAUUGGACGGCAUCGGCGUGGACUGCGCAUUAGAGACUCCUAGCGUGCUUAGAGGAACAGUAGUUUCUGUACCCGCAGCGGCUGUAGCAGCCAGUGGAGCCGUAACCACUGUCGAUCCUGGCUGAUGGUAGACAAGGCCCACAUAAUUCGGUGGCAAUUGUCCUUCUUUGAAAGUUCUAGCCACGGCAAUGAAAACCGUAUUGGACAGCACACCAGCUUAGUUGAUCAAGGCACGGUUGAUAGCACUAUCAACCAUGUCUUGGAGUUUACCAGGAUUGGCUUCAAAGGUAACCUGCCGAGGGGCCGGCAGUGCUUCUUUCUGGAUCACCUCACCACUCCUGUUGAUGCUGAAGGAUCUCAAACAUUACUGCUUGUAGUCCUCCAUGGCUUUUGCAAUAACUUGCUUCUGCUCAUCUUUGAGAUUGGCUUCUGUCACGGGGAUGACGUUCUCCUGAUCGAACUCAGUAGUCGACAUGUCGAUCUUGAUCUUGAAUAGUGGUCCCACCGAGCGUGCCAAAAGAUGUGUUGAUGCAAAAGCUGGAUCUGCAAACACAAAGGGCUAAUACCCGGUUCAAACGUUAAGGCGUGCCAGCCGAUUUGACCUUACUAUCGGCAAAGGUGAUAACUCGAAUACUUUGGUCCCGACAACAGCGAUGCGCCCGGAUGCCACGGCCAAGAGGUAUUCACGCGGAACUCGAGAAUACGCCGAGCUUAAGUCGACGAACUCCUAAGAACUCGUAAUGAAAAAGAAAAAAUAUGACGAAGUCGUCGAAAAGUAGAUGCUGGAAUAUGAGUAGAAACUUGUGUUUGAUUGAUUGAUUAUUUUUUUACAAGGCCCCAGGGUCUACAUUUAUACCCUGCUCAAAGAGCUACAAUCAGACAGGACUAGGACUCGAAUUCCAAAUUAAACAGAAUCCGUAUACAAAACGAUGUAAAUAACUAAGGAAAACACAAAACUAUUCCCUCGUGAUCGACCAAGACACCGCCAUGGGUCAAUCGGCAACUCCGCGGGGCCAUCGGCAAUCUUCCUGCUAUUGCCAUCGGCAAACAUUGAUGCUGACCAUCGGUUAGGAACACGCCACCACUCCCUGACUUAGCCAUACUCAAUCGUCCCUUCAUCGGCAAUCUUCCUCAUCGGCAACUCCCCUGCAGACUAGUAACCGUUGUUUUAUCUUGCCGAUCUACACCCUACCGAUCCUGGAUACGUGUCCAAAAAUGGUGUCAACAGUACGGUAGGGGCUACGGUUCUUCUAUAGCGUCCAUCUCUAUCCUCAUCGUCGAAGGGCGAAUGGGGCGCAGGCGGUGCUGGGCAAGGUAGCGGAGGGAGCAAGGGAGGGGCCAUGGUCUCCUGCAGUGGAGUAGCGCCACCGACAAGGGCUGCUCGCCACUCGUGGGGAGGAGCGCUGCUAGCAUUGAUAGGGGAGGGAGUAGCGGCGGCAGAGAUGGACGAGCGCCAUGUGCGAGCAUGGAGAGAGAGAGGAAGAGGCGCGUGAGGGUGGGAGGAAUAUGUAGCCACAUUUGCUAGGCCAACAGAUCUAGGUAGUGGGAAGGAAAAUUUAUUAAGCCAACAAAAAUAGGUAGCUUGAUAGGUAGCCUGCUGAAAAUGUUUUUUUUGGCCUCCACUACCAAAAACUUUAUUGGUUUAGAUAGCCUGCUAGAGACGCUCUAAGCUAUUCACAUACAUCAUUUCUACUCAAUUUUAUUUUAAUUUCUUUUGUAAUCCCACAUCAAUCUACCAGACAUCUUCUAGUUUUUCUUUAUUUUAUGGUUAUUUCAUAAUUUAUGGAAAAAUUAUUUGUAACAAUGGUUAGUAAUGUCAUCUGCCUCUAUAGAUUUACUUGUAUAACCAUUAGCCAUAAUUACAAAUAUCUCACUCUAAAGACGCUUCAAUACAUGAGCUAGAAAAACCAUGUAAUAUCUUAAUUGUUAGGUUCCCUGUUUGGCCUACUAGUCGGACUUCCAUACAUCCAUUUUAUAUGAAUAAGUUGGCUUAGUGGAAAUGACCGAUCUGCUCAUUUUUAUCUAUUGCUUGAUAUGACAUGAUGUGAACCACAAAGCAUAGUUGUAGGGUUUGAAACUAAUGAGUUCCACGAGUUUUGGUGAAUCUAUAUUUUAUAGGGGUUAAACUAGAAAAGGACUAGAAUUACCAAAUAGAAGUAUCUCAAGUGAUGAAUUGGAGUACAACAUUGCGAAGAGCUCGUCAAGACACAUGAAAUAGAAUUUGAUUCACCUAAAUCAAAGUCCACACAACAAAGUUAUGCCUUCCGGAAGAUUGCAAAUGGGCUUCGAGAGCAAUCCAGAGUAAAUUGGGCAUAUCUCCCUCAUUCGAACUCCGUUUUCAGUGAUCCAGGACUUUUUGGAAAGCUAACGAAGAGAUCUAUCAGCCCAUCAAAACAGAAGCCCACCUAGAAUAAAUCUGCUUAUGAUGGACAGUGGUUGUGCUCGACCAACAGAUCUGGACACUUGGUUGAGAAGGGGGGCCGCUGGAGAGAAGGGGAGGAGCGCCAAGGGGUAGCGACCGACGAGGAGGGUGCAGGAUGCGAAGGCGCCACCUGUGGGGGAAGAGCAGGGAGGGGCGGCGGCCAGAUGUGGAUGCGUGUUGGGGAGAGGAGUAGGAAGAGCGGCGCUAUGAAGGAGAUCGAGAGGGAGAGACGGAGACUACGAAGGGAGUCGGGCCUCGGGCGUGAGAAUGAUGGGGAUGGGGAAAGGGCCUGUUGAUGAGUAGUCCUUCUCUUUCUCUCUGUUUUUAACUUUUUUCUAUGUUAUGUGGUGUGUUCUUUUUUUCUUCUUUUUUGUUAUUAUUUUUCUUUCUAUGCAACUAUAUUUCUUGUUUCUAUUUAUGAUUUUUGAAUUACUUGGCUUUUCUAGAGUCGGACGUGAGAAUCUUUUAACAAUUCUUAUUAUUUUUGUUGAUGCAUCUAUGAUUUGUGUUAAUGACUACCUAAAAACACCUAGGUGUUAUAAUUCAUUUGAUUUUAAAUAUUUUCGGUAACAUUACGGUUAAGAUUUACCAUAAAAAUACCAAAAUGAUCUAUGACGUCCAAGCAUGACGAUAACUUAACUAGUCGUGUAGAUGUAUCACCUAAAAAAUAAACCGUCAUAGAUAAUAGAAUUUUGUGAUGUUUUCUUAGAAUGUCACCAGUAAACCGUCAUGUAUAGUGUUGGGUAUUUUAAAAGUAAACAGAAAAAUCCGCAAGCGCACGGAUACCGAUGUAGCUUUCACCCGGGAGUAUUCCAGAGUAUCGAUUUUCCACAGUGAACGUGAGUGUACUAAUUAAGAUUCAAGAUCGCCCAAGGAUAACUAUAUAAUUAUUUUUGGUGGGAAGAGAGGAUGUUUCCUGAGAGUUCUCUAGUUGAUCUAAGAAUCAAGAAUUACUUCAAAGAUUAUUUAUUUCGGGACAUCAGAACACUAACCACAGAAAGAGAUGAGAAGGGGGCUAGAAAGCUGUGACUUCGGUCCUACAAACACCGAUCCGAACGAGGUGGAAUACGUCGACCGUUCGGGCUGUCACUACCCUAGGGGUACCACAACAAUCCGUAGGAUUGGGUGUAAUUCUAGGUAAUUGCAAGACUAAACACCACGUCUAAUCUAUUAAUUACUACUCUAGAGUUUCAAAGACUAGAGCACUUGAUGCAAGCGGGAAUCCAAUAAAUAACUUGAAUGUAAAUAAAAGUAAUUAAAGAACUCAGGAAUUAUGAAUUGAAAAACUUGGAGAACGAUGAAGAACGAACUAGUUGCUGCAAAAGUACAAUGUUGAGGAAGAUCCGAUAGAUCCGGCUCUUCUCUCUCCCUAUUUUCUAGAUUACAACUAGAACUAACUAGAACUAGAUCUAGAUGAACUAGAACUAGAACUAGAUGAACUAGAGGGAUCCUCUCUACUUGGAUGAAUAAUUGAAACCCUAGCUUUGAUUCUGUAGAAGAGGUAUGUUCUCCAGGGGCCAGGGGGCUUGCUUAUAUAGCCCUACCAAAUGAACGUGGGCCGUCGGAUCAAACCGACCUUAAUCGCACGGUUUUCCUUAAUCCUCAAAGGUGGUGGAGCACGAUCCGCGAGACCUGCCCUGAUUGGUCACCAGGGCAGGGCGGGCGCCCUGCCCCCGGGCCCGCUCGGCCUCCCGUUCGUUUCCGUGGCUUCUGGAGUCUUCUAGAUGAUAGAAAAUUGGCGCACACAUUGAUAUCUCUAUGUAAACCCGACGUGUGGGUCUUUCCUCCAUAUUUCCUGAUAACCCCCUGCAGAAAUAGACAAACACCAAAACUCGUGGAAUUCUGUGAGAUAAAACCCUAAGUCUAGGUGUCGGUUGCAUUUGGAUCCUUUUCCAUGAUUAGUUGAUGGUUAAAUGUGAGCAUUAAGGACCGUCAACAAGCUUCCCCAAGCUUAACCUUUGCUCGUCCCUGAGCAAGGAUGGACUCAAGAGUUUCUGCAGUGGUUUCAUGCCUUAAAGGUACACAUGCGUUCAAACAAGAUCUCAUCUCUGGGUUAGGGUAAACUGUUAAGAUUUAAACUUACUCAUUUUCCUUCCACCAUGGGGCUUGCAACUGUCACUUGUGUCUUGAGCAGUUAAAAGAUAGAACGGUCUAGUCAAGCACCAUGUCUCUUGUUCUUCGAUUAACUGUAGCUCUGGAGUUUUUACAGAUAUUCAAAUAAAACUUAGAGAUUCCUUGUAUGACUCUCUCUAGUCUCUCUUUUGUGGUAUUUCUGGAUCCUUACCAAGGCAGUAAUGGUGUCUGCCUUCUCUCAAAGUAUGUGGUAUUUUUGGUAUGAGGCAUAGUGGCAUUGCCUUCUCUCUCACCCUACUCUAAUAAGGUUUUGAUAUCUGGAGCUCAUAGGUGGGAGACAACUAAUACAUACUUACAAGACAUUUAUUGCAUAGUCAAACCAUGGAUCCAGAAGAACAAGUCAAUAAGUCAAAUCAAGAUGUGCAUGUGUGGCGAAUGAAUGGUGAUAAUGGUGAAAAUAAUGGUGAAAGUCUAAUUCUACUUUUGCUCUUUUGAGGGGGUACAUACCUUCUUUGCACUUGAGGCUUUGAGGGGAAUGAGAUGCUCUAUAUUUUAUUUUUCUUUUCUCUCAGGUGGGUAUCUUGUACCCCUAAUUCUACUGUCAGACACUUGUCCAUUUUUACCUCUCGUCUCACUUUUUCUCUCUUUUUUUCGAGGUUUCGGGCACUUGCCCCUUUUUAUUUCCUCGUAUUCACUUUUUUUAGAGCACUCACCCUCCUGGAAUAAUGUAGCAAGUGGUAGUAACCAAAAUAUCUCGAGCAUUUAUUUCACGGGGAAUAACAGGGAUAGGAUAAUGUUUUUGGCUAUUCUCUCCUAGAUAGGAGUAGAAUAAUUUUGGGUGAAUCUGGAUAUGGAAAUGAGUGGAUGUAUGUGGAUGCGUACUUCCGGAGUAGAAGCAGCAUGUAUGACUGAACGUGCAAGUGAAUCUUGAUUUUAACCACAUGACAAGCUCCUAAGGGUCUACACAGCUUGACCACACUCAAUGCUCAGAAGCAGUAAAAAGUAAAUGUAUGGUUCAUAGUCUAAUAAGCAUGUAU